GAAAUUAAAAAACGUAUCAUAUAUAAAUACACUGCUUAAUGAUACAAUAAGUUUUUGAAUUCGCGUGUUUCUAUUCACUCAAAGUUAACCCAAAUAUUAUAUAAAUAUAUUUAUAAAAUAUUUAAAUUUUUUUAAAUAAUAUGAUAUAUUUGUAGAAUAUUUACAUACUUCUUUAUAAGAGAUUAUCAUGGUGAACAAGUUAAUCUAGUUUUACCAGAAAUUUUAUUUUUAAUUUUACCCUUCAAUAUUAAAUUAAUUAAUAAUUAAGUUUUUAAUUUGCUUUUGAUAAGAUUACCUCAAUAUUACAAUUAUAUCGCAAGUUUUUCAUGCUAAUCCAUAUGGUUCAAAUCAUUUUUUUUCUUAACUCUUUUUCUUUGCCAUUUCCUUUUCAUUUUUUUAAUUUAUAUUAUCAAAAUUAUAUGAAUUUAUUAAACCAAAGUUAAGUGAAUUACUCAAUCUCUAGUUUUUUUACUUUUUUGAGAAUGCUUGCGUUACCUUAGUUUUUUUUUUUUUUUUUACAGUGGAAAAAAAUGAGUCGGCCAUGGCGGUCCACCCAUCUAGUCUUGUUAGGAGCUAGCUCUUAUCCAGCGAUGUGAAGUUAACCAGUAAACAAUUAAGAUAUUUUAUAAUUCAUAAUUCAUAAAAUGCUAUAUAUAUAUAUAUAUAUCAACCGGUCAGCCUAACUACUACUUGAACUUGCACGCGAGAAUGCUGGACGCUACAAAUUGUCCAAAUAUUCUAGAACCUCCCCCUCCUCGACAAACCUUUCCCAAUCAAACCGCCAUAAAUUUCAAGUUUUAUUACUGCAUGCACUGACCAUAAUUAAAGUGUUAUCAAUAUAUAUUUAAAGUUUUGAAAGAAUUUUUUAUUAUUUUCAACUCAAUUAACUAGUAAAAAGAUAGUAGUUAUGACGUAAUCAGAUAAAUUAUGAGUUUUUCCAAUAAAUAAAUAUGGAUUAGCAAGCCAUAUUAUAUAAACAAAGACUAUUUAAAUAAAGCAUACAUAUUCAUAAAAGAUUUAUACCAAGCGGAAAAUAUAUAAAUCUAUGUUGGCUAAUCAAAUAAACUAUAGAGUUUUAUGUUGAUUAAUAAAUCAUAGAGAUUCAUAAUUAAACUAUGAAGAGUUUAUAUAUUUAGCGAAAGUGCUUGCAAAACUAAAAAAAACAUUAAAUUCUAUGACAAAAAAAGCAUUUAAAUAAACUAAAAACUUGUAAAGAAAGCAUGGAAAUGAAUAAAGCCUAAAGUUUGUAGAGUGAUAAAUUUACAUAAAGUAAAUUAAAAGAUAAAUUUACAGAAAAUCAGAGAAAAAUUGUAUUGAAACUGUAAAAAAAGAAUUAUCUAUUUAUAAAUAAUAUUAGGAUAAAGCAAUUAUUUUAUUGUUUUUGUGAAAAACUUUUUCUUAAAAACAAUUUGUUGUUUGCGAAAAUAAUGUUCAUGUAUUUUUUUAUAUUUAUACCGACUAAAAUCACAGAAUUAAAACGACUCGAGCACUUGGUCUAUCUUAUAAUAAAAUUUUUAGAAAUAUUAUUUUCUUCACAACAACACCAACACUAACAACAAAAUUAAAAUUAAAAUCAAAAUCUACCGUAAUAUGCCUUGUUUUCUUGUUUGAUCAUUUUGUUGCUUAAAGAUUUGGAUAUGAUCCUUCAACUUCAAAAAACCCAGUUAUUAUAGGUCAUUUAAAAAAUAUUUAUUUUGAGUGUCAACUGAUUAAUUACAUUAUUUUUUGGAACAACAAACACGAACCCUACACGGUUUACCAUGUGGUUAAGAAGGUUUAUUUUAUUUCUUAAUUUUUAGGGUUAAAACCUUAAAGUCAAAGAUUAAAGGAACAUGGCUGUCAUGUUCUUUAAAUCUAAAUUAUUGAUUUCAGAUUAAAUGUACAUGAUUCAGCGCAUGAUAAAAAUGGUAAUAAUGUGAUUUCUUUUUAUUUUAUUUCUCUCACCUAAUAUAAAUCACUAAAUUCAAAAUCAAUGGUUGGAUUUGAAACAUGAUUGAUAUCUUAAGAUAAAAUUAUGCUAGGUUAGUAUUUCAGGAUAAAAAAAAUAAAAACAAAAGGAACAUAAAUAUAUCUUGUUAAAAAAGAGGAAGAUAAAAAUACAAAAUAAAUCUAUAUAAAAAAUAAUUUCAAAAUGAACUUAUAUUAUUUCAAAACAAAAAACAUAAAAAGACAUAUGCUCUUUAUUUUUACUGGUUUCACGCAUUUUAUCUCGAGAUUGCAACCAAACACUAAAUAAAAAAAACAAGAAAUGAUCCAAAUUUAGAGAGCAAACGUCUAGGAAAAUUUAUUAUUUGUCAAACUAAGGUGACAGAUGCAUUCUUAAGAUCAUCAAAAAGAAAUUUAAUCUCUACACGUUAAAUAAUCAAAAUAUACCACUGUAGUUGAGAAAAAAGAAGAGGGGAUUCAUGUAUUUUGACUUUUGCAUGUGGAAUGAAACUUUACUUUGGUAAGAAGAUAGAAGAAGAACAACUAUAGAGGACCCCUGGGGUCUGAUCUGAGAAGCAAACUCUUCUUGGGUGUGUGUUGAAUUUGUGAUUUUAAAAUAUUAAUAAUUCAGAUCGCCUUUGAAUAAUCAAGAGACUGUAUUCCUUGUCAGCCUAUGCAAAUACUCCAACUAUAGAAACAUUGUCUGUUUUUUAGUAUUAUAGUCUUCAACAAGCAUUAAAUUCACAGCGUAGGGGACUAGCUAGCUAGCUAGCAAGUAGAGAGUAGAGACAAUAUUUUUAAUCAAUAUUGACAAUCUCCCCCAGAAAUUCAACUCCUUGCGAGCACAACACAAGGAAAAACUUGACAGUCAAAUUUGGCAGCAGAACGUGAAGCGGUUUGCAGGAGUUACGGAGCUUUUGAUUGUGUAUUUUAAAAAUAUUUUGCAAAAAAAAAAACUUUUGUUUUAAUUUGCAAGAAAAAAUACUUUUGUUUUAAAGUAAUUUUUUAAUAUUUUUAAAUUAUUUUAGUGUGUUAAUAUAAAAAUAUAUUAUUUUGAUACAUUCUUUAAAAAAAAACACUUUAAAAAGAAAUCCCUACCUAAAUUCUCAGAUCUCAGUCAUCUGGUUAUCUUUCAUGAAGCUGUUACUAACUAUGGUAUUAUGCUUAAAUAGUUUUCCCUAGCGAAUAUCUUAAAUAAAGAACAAAGCUUCAAAUAAUUAUGCCAUUAUAAACUUGAUACUCAUCAUAAUUACCCAGAAUCAUUCUCAUGUUUCUUUCCUUCCUUCUUAACAUAAUUAUCCAAUAACUUCAUAAUAUCAAGGGUGGUAUUUGAUUCUCAUGUUAAAGCUUGGGCAAAUCUAUUUUAAGUUUCAUCCUAAUUUUCUCUAAUAUUAUAUUGUUAUUUACAUUUUCUUCUUUAACUUAAUUUACAUUUUAUUAUAUUGAUAAUAAAAUACAUUGUAAACAUCACAUAAAUUUUACUAAAAACAUAAUUUACCUUUGCUUGUUAGACAUUAUACAAAAGAGCUUAUGAUGUAUACCAUGCUGAAUGAAUUUAUAGAGUGCAUAUAAAAACCAUCGUCAAGUGUCGUUGUUUGCAGGCUCAACAAUAACAUGCUAAAUGCAUUAUCAUCGAUUUUCAAAGCCUCAAUUAAAAAUAUUUCAAAAAACUAAUAUGUUAUUUGUGAGUUGAGGACGAAACUUGUGAGAGAUUCCACUACCAGUAGAGACAACUACGUUGAAACACAAAUUCAUGCAAGAAAUCAAUUUUAAGAGUAGUUUUUUAUUGUUCAAUUUGGGAGAAUGGACAAGAUCUUCAGUGCUUGUCAGUAAGAGAGAGAGAGAGAGAAGAUGGGGAGGGAAAUGAUUUGUCAUUUGUGUCUCUAAUUAUUAUAAUAUAUAUUAGGGUACUUUGAUUAUUUUCUUAUAAUUGAAUUUUUUUUUUAAUCCAGGAUGCAAAAUAUAAUUUUUUUAAAACUUGAUAGACAAGUACAAUUUUAAUCAAACUAUAAGAUGUUAGGGGUAAUUUUUUCAAUACAAAUUAAAUCACUCAAACAUAAUAAAAAAAUAAAAGGUUGGACACUAAAAUUUUAGUUCCCUCCACAAGCUUAUUAACAGAUAAUGAAUGCAUGAAUCGAGAUUGAAUAUUUGGGAUGAUGAUUGAUUGUAAGGAAUUAAUAGCAGAUUAUGCAAUCUAUUUAUACAAAUUCCAUGCAAUCAAUUCCUAACACUAAAUUAAUUUCUCCAAACAAAUGACUCUUUACAAAAAGUCUAGUUUGAUUAAAUUUAAACCUCACCCUUGUAAAGUGUUUAGGCUUGAUCCAAUAGAGUUUUAUUCUUUCAAGAUUUCAAGCGUAGAUGAAGGAAACCUGAGAAUUUCUUUGUUUGAAGAGCUUGUCUUGAAAAAAUUUUUGUAUCUCCAAGAAUUCUUUCAUCCUCUCAUAUCUAGGGUGAGACCCUCUAUUUAUAGAGAUUUGUAGGGGCACUUAGGUAUUUUUAUCAAUGUCACAAUACAUUAUUUUAUUGAUUAAUUUUUGUUUAUGAGAUCUUGUAUUUAUGAUAAAAUACCUUUAAAUAUCUCAUCUCAUGUGUCAACCUUCUAUCAGUUAAGAAAUAUAUUAAAACUCAUUUAUUUUUCAUGUCAUUUAUUUUAAUCGUAAUAAACUAAAAAUGACACAUUCGGUAGAAUUGUUUUUUGUUUCUACGAGUAUACUUUGGAAUCUAGUGUUCCUUAAAGUUUCAUCAGUUUGUAUUUCAGGAAUGGUACUGAAGGCUAAUAAAAUGAGAUGAACCAUUAAUUUUCUUUUUUGUUGUGUUCAGAUCAUAAAAAAGGCGAGGAUGGAAGGAUUGUUCUAUUAUAACUAGAUUUUUGUUCCUCAAGAGCUGCUUAUUGAUAAUGACUUCAAAUGUAUUUUGGAGAAGCCAUAGUUCCAAACUUGAUAUAUGCUUCCUUUUAUACAAAGUUUUGUAUAUUGAAGACAUUCUGCAGUAUGCUUAAAGUUUAGUAUAUUUUGAGAGAAGGUGUUGGAUGUUUGAGAUUUCAUAGAUGAAUCAAUGACUGGCCUGCUCAAUGCAUGUUUGUUACUCUCUAUUGCAUUUACUAAUGCUUGCUAUUUAUUUAUUUAUUUUUAUUUAAUUCACUUGCUAAGUAUCAUGUCUACUAGAUCAUGUCAGGCCCAAGCGUUUGGGUAUUAAAUUUUUUCAAAAGCAUGAUUGAACUGCAAAAACAAACAUUGCUUCAUUCAAGCAUGAUUUUUUUAUUUAUAUGCAAUAGAACCUAACUGCAAACUCUUUUUUAUUUGUCCAACUUAUUUUAUAAAUUUGUUAUAUUCGAAGAGGAAAGAAUGAAAAAAUGUUGAGUUCUAAGUAAUUUAUUUCAAGUUUUCAAAAAUAAACUUUCUUUUUUGUAUGCAUUGAGAAUGAAAAUAUUAGUUUUAUAUUUCCAUCUAAAUGUUGAAUAAUUUUUUAAAGGGUUCAUGCCUUUUGAAAUUUGAGAUGUUGCGUGAUCUAAUUAUUAAAGUUUGUUACAAGGAGAGUUUAUUCUAUAUUAUAACUAUUAGUAUAUACGAAAAUUUGAAAUAUAUGAUUAUAAGAGAAAACUUUUGAAUUUUUGAAUUGAUACAUUAUGUUCUAGGAAAAUAAAAUACUGUAUAUGUAAAAGAUUUAUUGUCCUUUUGACUAUCUUAAUUUGUGCAAUUUUAUAAAUGAUUUCUUCACAAAAAUUACAGAUUAAUAAAAAAAAUUGAGUGAAUUUUAGAGAUACGUGUGGUUAAUGUCCCAAAAUAAAAGAAAGAAAUAUAGAAAAUAUAAGAAUAUAAUUGGUUAAAAAGAAAAAAAUGAAAAUACAAAAUAAAUAUGUUUUUAGAACAACUAUAAGUGUAUUCCUAUAUUUUCAAAAAAAGAUGCACGAAUCUGGCAUGAUUGCCAGGUCCAAACAUGUGGGUCAUGCCAAACCCAAACGCGGGGCUGGCAUGGUUGCAAGACCCAAGCGCCUGGCUCUAGCAAGGUAUUUGAUAUUUUUUCUUAACAAUACAGCGGAAGUCCACAAAGAAUUAUUAGUUAGAUGUCCUAAGAUCAUUUAACAUAUUUGCAUGAGUAUUUUGAUCUUCAAUAAAAUCAUCACCUUUGUUUGGCUCAUAAAAAUUAUACAAAUCCUAGGCGCCAGACCCAAGCUACUUUGACUGACAACCACGCCAGGUCCAAGCGGCUUGGGUCUGGCAACCCCUAUGCAAGUAUAUUGUGGACCAAGACGCAGUCAACUAUAGACUUGCACAAUGAAUUUUCUAAGUUCUGAAGGCUUGAGAUGGAGCUAAUGUUGUCUUUUCACAAAACGUUAAAUUAUCAUUUUGCCAUUUGGUUGAAAAAAUUAAAUUCCUGGUUGUGGGGGUAUUUUAGUAUUUUUCAUAGGCUCAUUGGUCAUUAAACAUUUGAGCGGGGGUAUGAUAGUCUUUUCACGUUUAUUUGCAUAAUAAAAAUACUAUUCUACCCUAAGGUUAACAAAAUUAAAACCUAUUGCUCAAGAAUUUUUUAACCUUUCACAAACUUAAAUAGUUUAAAUACAUCUUUAACCUUUGAAUAGAAAAAAAAUAAGCUUUGCUUAUAAGAAUAUUUUUGUUCUUUUACUGUUUUGUGUAAUUUUCUAUAAUAAUAAGGGGUAUUUUUGAUAUUGUUUAAUUAUUUUAAAAUUCAAAAAGUUAUGCUAGACCCAUGUUUACAUGGUUCUAACAACCAUGUCAGACUCAAAUUACUUGGGUGCCAACUCAAGUACCGUGAAGUUGGUGUGGUUGCCAAACUCAAAGCUCUUGAGUAUGGUAAAUAGUUGAGUGAAUGUUUAAAAAUUAAUCCACUUGAUUAGAUUUAAUAAUACUAUUGAAAUAUUCUCCAUACUUUUAAUAUUUUUUUUAUAUUUUAAUAUAUUUUUUAUAUUAAUCUCCUCUAGAGCGCGUGCCAAAUAAUUUAUAUAAUUUUGGGUGAUAACAUGGUUCACCACGCACGUGUGCAGGCAAACUCCCUCCCGCGUGCCGCGCGCCAUUUUCAAUAUUAAUCCAUAAUUGCAUCAUGAAGAUGGUGACGGUCCAUGCAUGGAAAAACAUAUGGUUUAAUCACGUAAAAUGUUUUCUUUAACCUCGCUCUAAUUUCUCUUAAAACGACCACCUGUUUCCAUUUUGAACAAUCAAAUACGAUGCUUUAUUUGCUUACCCUUUCUCAAGAUAAGUGCCUCUUUGCUUCAUCUAUCACUUUCUCUCUGAUUAUUUAUUCUAGUUCCGUGCAGAUAUUUGGUUUUGUUGUUGCAGUUUGGUGAGGAUUUUUGUAUUUUUUUUGGUGAAUUCUUGACCAUAUUUUGAUUAGUUUUGUUUCCAAAUUAAUGUCAUUCGGAGCCAAAUUGCAAAAUUAGGGUUCGAUUGAGGGUCUGGGAUCUGAUCACAAAGAAGCAUCAAAGUUGUAUCUUGUUACUGUUAAUGGGAUAAAAAAGAUUCAAUCUUUGUACUACCUUUCAGAGAAGAGAGGCGGUAACAAGGACCUGAAGAUCAAUAGGGCUAGUUGUUUAUUUUUUUAUUUUUUAUGGGGAAUACAUGUGUAGGACCAAAUCUAGGCAAUAAUGGAUUCUUCAAUACUGUUACUGCUGCUAUUUGGCGUUCCCGGCCACCAGAGGACCGGUUGCACCUUCCUAAAGGAGAAGAUAGUAGCAAGAAUAAUGGUGAUUCAGAAGCGGGUCCGGUUGGUGGAUCAAAAAAAUCUGAGGGUUCUAAAAAAGGAUCAAAUGAUCAUCCACCAAUACUGGUCCAGAACACCCCGCCUGAACCAGUUAAAAUGCCCAAUGAAGCACCACCACCUAAAGUCAUUGAGCAUGAAAAGUCCAUUAAGCAGGAAAUGAGAGAAGUGGGAAUUGGUCAGCCAGGGGAGGAGCAGAAGGGGAAGAAACCUACUCAUGUUAAGAGGGUUUCGAGUGUAGCGCUUCAAAUGGAAUCUGUGUUAGGGAGGAAAACUGGGAAUUUGAAGGAUAUUUAUAGUUUAGGGAGGAAGCUUGGACAAGGGCAAUUUGGAACAACGUUUCUUUGCAUUGAGAAGGCGACUGGGAAGGAGUUUGCUUGCAAAUCCAUUGCGAAGAGGAAGUUGACGACGCAGGAGGAUGUGGAUGAUGUUAGGAGGGAGAUUCAGAUAAUGCAUCAUUUGGAGGGUCAUCCUAAUGUGAUAAAAAUUGUGGAUGCUUAUGAGGAUGCUGUUGCAGUUCAUGUCGUUAUGGAACUUUGUUCUGGCGGGGAGCUUUUUGACAGAAUUGUUCGGAGGGGGCAUUAUACGGAAAAACAGGCAGCUGAGCUUGCGAGGUUAAUUGUUGGUGUUGUGGAAGCAUGCCAUUCUUUGGGUGUUAUGCACCGGGAUUUGAAGCCUGAGAAUUUUCUGUUUGUCAGUCAGGAAGAGGAGUCGCCGCUUCAAACGAUAGACUUUGGUCUCUCAGUGUUCUUCAGGCCAGGUACACAUCUGAGCAUCACUUUUAUGUUUCAAUGGUUGGAUUUAGCACCCCUUUACUUGAAGCAUUAUUGAACUAGUGCUACACUAGCCUUUUCUUUGAACUCUAUUAUAGCUCUAGAGUUCUUGAAAAUAUUUUCCAUGCCAUCCAAGUACAACACCAAUAAUUUACUGACUAAAUGAAUAAGAAUAUCAGCUCAAUUAUAAAUAGCUUCUCUUUCUCACUUAUGAAGAUUUCCACUUGCCAUGUGCUUUUCCUAUAUUAGAAUAGAAUGGCUUGCCCCCUUUUCUUGCCUAUCAACCGUGGAAAUAAUUAUCAAAGAGGAAGAAUGGUUACUGUUGUUGUCACGGAUAUUGUUAAUGGAUAAGCGAAAGGUAUGCUUGGUUUCUCAAAUAGUAAGAUGGUUGAUUAUAUGGAUAAAAGCUUACUUUUGAAGUUUCUUCCCAAAUUUAAAGAAGUUUUAGUUUGUAGUUAGAAAAUUCUCUGUGAGCCGUAACCCUCUUGGAGAGGGUGCUUUAGUUCAACAGAAAAAAUCAGAAUCCAUACGAAAUUAGUGCAUGAGGAAAUUGAGUUAAAGAGAUUUAUAGAUCUGCUUAGAGCUUUCAAUGAAUAAUAAACAAAGCUCUGAUCAAACCUGGCUGGACUUUAUGAAAACAUUUCCACCAUUCACCUCUGAUUUCGACAGUAAAAGCAAGCAAGCUGUGUCCAAACACACACAAGCAGGGUCAUUGAAGUUUCAGUAUCCAGAUUUUGAUUUUGGCUUGGACGAACAAAAAAUAUAUGAAUAUUUACUUUUAUUUUGAUAGCCUGCAGCAUGAGUUUCAAUGCCAACAUCUGAAAAUUUGGAAAUGAUUUUCCAUUCUAAAGUUGUUUGGAGCUGCCAAUUGUGGCCUAAACAAGUGCCAGAGGCUGAAUGUUGAACAUCUUAAGUUCCCAAUAGUUAACUGGCUUCUCAUUGUAAGCUAUUUUAAGUUUUUGUAUGGUCGUAAUGCACACAGUGGUUACAAAAUAUAGCAAAAUUUACUGCUUCCUUAUAAUUUCUUAAAUACACAUCAGAAUAUAAUUUUCUUCAUUGACUAUGCCAGACAAUUUCAUUAUUUAUUACACGAACAUUUCAACAUCCAUGCCAAUAUGGUUACCUUAGUAUGCCUCCUAUAUUUUUUGCUUUAGAAGGGAUAUGUUUGCCUGCAGUCAGCUCAUAGUCUCUCCAUUGCCCAUGCUUAUUUAAAACUUUGUCAGCAUUAUGUUGUUUCUUCCUUAGUAGUCCUUUCCAUUUCUGCAAAAUUAACUAAUGGUUUCAUCAUCUCAGGUGAAACUUUCACUGACAUAGUUGGCAGCCCCUACUAUGUAGCUCCAGAAGUGUUGCGGAAGCUAUAUGGUCCAAAAUGUGAUGUUUGGAGUGCUGGGGUGAUCAUUUAUAUUUUGUUAAGUGGGGUUCCCCCAUUCUGGGAUGGUGAGACUCUUGAUCUAGAAUCAUGUUAUUUUAUACCUUUAUCUAAUGAUUAUUUGGCUGCGUGUAAUUUAUGCUCUGUCAUGUUUGGGAUCAGAAACGGAACAAGGAAUAUUUGAGCAGGUUUUAAAAGGGGAACUAGACUUUGAAUCAGAACCUUGGCCUAAUAUCUCUGAAAGUGCAAAAGAUCUUGUUCGGAAAAUGCUAGUAAGGGACCCUAAAAGACGGCUGACAGCCCAUGAAGUUCUCUGUGAGUAUGGAUGCCACUAUAAUCUAAUCUUUAAAUAUCUCUUUGCCAAAUAAACCAGUGCAUUGUUUAUUAUUAGUUUGUUGUGUCUCUUUUGUAGUUGUGUUUUUUAAUGAUAACCCUGAUUUUCUUUUAUCAUGAGUCACCAUAGCUUCUUGAAAUUUUAGCUUAUAACAGAACUGAAUGGAGGAAAAUGCUCACACAGCUAGCCGUAGCUAAUCAGAGAUUGAGGUCUAGUUGACUUGAGCUGAGUUGUUGCUUAAGUGGAUGAAGUCAUGAAACAAAAUCGUAAAUUAAGUUCUGUUGGAAAUGUGAAAAUAUACUAUAGUACAAAACUAGCUAGAUGGAUGAUGGUUUAGGAGGAGUUAGAUGAUAUAAAGAACAUGUCUUGAUCUUACUAGUUUCUUUUGUCGCCAAGGAGUAGCAAUAGUUACACUAUGUUUUUGUUCUCGUGCAGGCCAUCCUUGGGUGCAGAUGGAAGGUGUUGCACCUGAUAGACCUCUUGACUCAGCUGUUCUAAGUCGGUUGAUGCAAUUCUCAGCCAUGAAUAGGCUCAAGAAAAUUGUCAUCCGAGUGAGUACUUAUAAUCCCUGAACUCUUAAAAAUUUUGUGCAUGCUACACAGCAGACAUGGUAACUGGAAAACUUAGGUCAUGCUUUGGAUGCUGUAUCAUGAUAAAGAACAUACUGAGACAAGGAAUGCAAUGGAGCUGAUCACUUCCUUUGUUUGGUUGCCAGACUUGUUUUGAAUGGAGUUGCAAUGCUAAAACAUCAAUAUAGAAACAUCAUUUAUAAUCUUUUGAUAAUUAAAAGGUGAUAUGGCUGUUCAGUUUUACCUGCAGUUUUGUUUCUUGCAUCUAUUAAUGAAAAGAUGUUACCCUGUCUUUGAAACAAGAAGAGUGCAUAUAUCGUAGCAUGAUAAUUUUGAUUUUAAACCUUCUGACUAUUCCAUGCUUUAAGCACACAUCUCUUUGUAACGCAAACAUCUUUAUGUUAUUCACCAGUGUAUUUUUUCAUUAUAAUUUUUAGUCUAAUGUGCUUUGCAUAUAUAAAUACUGCAUUAAAAGUUGCUAAGCUAACCAAAUAUCAUCAUUGAAGUCAUCAUAUAAUUAAGCUUACAUUACAACUCUAAAUCUCUGCUUACAGGUAUCAAGCAUUUCUUGUUAGCUGAAGUAUUUGCAACAGUGCUUUUUUCAUUUGAGUACAUUGUUUCACAUAGUGAGCACCAUACUUCAUAGAUGCCAUUAAAUGAUUUUGCCCUCUGAAUGUUAAGUGUGUGAUUACAUAUUGUACAUGAUCACUUUCUCUUAAAACAGAUAUCUUGGUUGAAUUGCUUGAAGUUUUCACUUGGUAUUUUAAAGACAACAAUGCGAGGUCCUUGCUAAAACCUGUUCUUUUACUUACCAGAAAACUUCUUUUUCAUUUCAGGUCAUUGCUGAAAGCCUCUCUGAAGAGGAAAUUGCAGGUCUGAAAGAAAUGUUCAAGAUGAUAGAUGCAGACAAUAGUGGACAUAUCACUCUUGAGGAACUGAAGACUGGUUUGGAGAAAGUGGGUGCUAAUACCAAGGAUUCUGAAAUUGCUGGGCUAAUGCAAGCUGUAAGUCUGUUUGAAAUUCAGAUUCAAGGUUUUUAUAGUUAUAUAGCAUAGGAUCAUGAUGGUAGUUUUCUUUCUUACUCUUGUAUUUUUAACAAAUUACCUUGAGACUUUCUGCUGUGAACCAUUAAGCGAUUUCAGACAACCCGGUCAUCUUUGGUUAAACAUGACUAAAUUUAGUGUGAGUCUCUCUGAAAUGAGCUAGAUAAGUAGCUUGUGUGCUGUGACCAAGAUUCAAGUACCGUGUUUCUAUUUUCUUGAGGAUUACCUAUUAAACAACUCAUAGCCAAGCCGUUGUCCGAUUUAGCUCAAAUAUGGAGAAAAGCAUGAACAACCCGAGAUAUAGGAACAUGGUGCAUGAUUUUGUAGGUUAUGUUUAAAGAGCCUAGGUCCCAGGGAGUCUUGGAACAAGACACAAACACGCACCGACACACGUGCACAGAUCAUAAGAAACCUGUCUAGCAUCUAAAAUGUAAAUGGAGAACAUGUGGAAAUUGAUAUAUUUUGGUUACCAUUAUUUUCUAUGAGAUUUUAUCAUGGCCGUUAAAUUAACCAGUGAAAUCGCCACUUUAGCUCCUGGAUCUCCCAGAUGAUUGUCUUGGAUGAAUUAUCACAUCAGCGUUUGCCCUCAUCCAUACAGUUUGAUUCUGAUUAAGCUCCCUACCUGUUAAAAAUUUCAGGCUGAUGUUGAUAACAGUGGUACCAUAGACUAUGGCGAGUUCGUAGCAGCCAUGCUCCAUCUAAACAAGAUUGAGAAGGAGGAUCAUCUAUAUGCAGCCUUCUCAUACUUUGACCAAGAUGGGAGUGGGUACAUCACUAAAGAUGAGCUCCAACAGGCCUGUGAGAAGUUUGGUUUAGGAGAUGUUCAGUUAGAUGAAAUUAUACGUGAAGUUGACCAAGAUGAUGUAAAUAUCUUCUUGCCAAUAACAAUUUUCAUUUACCUCCAGGUAGAAAAUAGUUUAAUUCAUCGGCAUGAUUUAAUUUUUCACUUUCAUAUUCAUUUCAGGAUGGACGCAUCGAUUACAGUGAAUUUGUGGCUAUGAUGCAAGACACUGGUUUUGGCCAAACCAGAUCACAAAUAACUUAGGCGUGUAAGAUUCAGAUAAGCCUUUAAGCAGGAGUUAAUUUGUAUUUUCUAGGUGUCAUAAGUUAACAGAAUGUGCAGCGCAUACUGUUGUAAAGAGGAGGCAGGCUUCAGGGAGGUUAAGAGAGGGUAUCCUAUUCAUUUUAUUCUUUUCCAAGUUGUAUUUUCCACGUUUUAGGUUCCUGUUAAAUUUAUUCAGAUGGAUUAGAUUGCAAUUUCCCAUGUUUGAAAACUUUGUUCACGAUCAAACUUUUUUUUUCCCAGUUAUUUUUGUCUGUAGUAUGAACGGUGCUUGAUAUCUCUAUCGGUCCUAAAUGGGUACUUGGCAUGUUUUUAGUGCUCACCUUUUAAUGAUUAAUGUGUAAAUUACGUAUCUUAGGUAUUCAUAUAUAAUUCAAUUAUGCAAAAUCUUCUUCUUGGAGCUAGAUAACAUCUCUUUCCAAUGAUGUUAUUUGUUCACCAUUAUGUUCGUUGCCUAUUUGCUGAAAACACAGAGAUGUAUACAUGUUUUUGUCGCGUUGUCUAGACAAAGACAGUACUCCAGCAGCAAUCGUGUUUGACACGAGUUCAAUCUACAUUUGUACAUACACAAUUGACAUUUUCUUUUGUACCUUGUCCAGCAUCUUCAACGUACCUUGUUCAGCAGGACCAGCACCGUGUCACGGUUGUAAAUACCGUUCCUCAGUGAUGAAAAGGCCAGCCAUGUCUUGUCUGAUAAGAGAAAUGACACUACUUUUGUUCGUGUUGUGUCCAUGUCAAUAAAGGGUGCGCCACGACGACUUGGAAGCAUCCAUGUAGAAAUGGCUGCAUGUGCAAUUGCCGAUGUACUGCUUUGUUUUAGCAGGUUCAUAGUAAUGAAAGAAAGCAAUCAAUUCAUAGAUUUUAAUUUGAUGCCAUGCGUGGUUGAAGGGUCUUUCUCCAAUUGUUGUCCUAUGCAAGGCGUUCUAUCAAACUGACAUUUGCGGUACCAUUUAACUUGCGCCCUAAAUGGACCAUGGCAAGUAGCCUUCCUAAUUUGCAACUAGUGCCAAACCAAGCAAAACGUCAAUGAAAAUGGGGCGAUCAGCUUGAUGCACUAUGUUAAGGACUUCAAAAUAAGAAAACUAGAGAAUUAAAGAGAGAAGAAGAAGAGAUGAGAAGAAGAGAGACAAAAGGAACUUCAUUUCUGCAGAAAAUUAAUUUUUUAUUACUCAUCUCUUAUAUUUCAUACAAUUGGUGUUUAUGCAUAGGUAAUUUCCACUAAUUGUAACUAAUUUCGAACUACUAACUAACUAACUCAACAUCCUAACUUUUUAGCCAUGUAGAUUCUUUCUUGCUGCCACAAUUCUGCAGCUGCCAACUACUAUAACUAUUGUUGCAGGUGUCAACCCAAAUCUAAGGCUCAUAACAAUACUCCCUUCUUAUGAGAUUCUUCUCCUCAUGAAUCAAAGCAAAAAUAAACUCUUCCAUACUCAUCAACCCCGCUUUCUCUAGUUGUAAUUCCAUUAUUAUUACCUUCAUUCACAUCUAGAAAUUCUUCCCAACCCCCUUCCAUUCCUUCAAUCAUACGGAUCCCUUUCAUACUACAUUGGCGUCCAUGUGUAUGCUUCUUUUCAUAUCUAAUCUACUCAUGUAAAAUUUUAAGGGUUUGUCUUGAACUUUGAGGCAUUUAUAUUUUACAAUGGUUAAGAGUUUUUUGUGGUGGUUUACCUUGUUGUCGAUCCUUGUUAUACGAAAGAGCAGUUUUUAAAUUGAAAUAUGCUCUUUUUAACAAUAACAUUGUUAGAUUCCUUUUGUUAUUUAGCUUGAUCAAAAACUUGCAUCAUGAUUAAUGGUUUAAGAAUCAUGAGCAUUAGCUUGAUGUCAUCCUUGACCCACUUAUAAAGCUGAAAAUAUAAUAAGAUUCUAGUAAUGAAGAGUUUAGUGUAUUCACUAACCACUUAAGUUAUUCAAAUCUAUUUACAUAUUCUUUCAUACAUUUAUCUUGCACAAGUUUAUUGAAUUCCUCCGCCAUAUCUUUUCUAUUGUCAAACCUCAUGCAAAUACCCUUGGUGAAUUCUUCCUAACUAGCCAAAUCCUCUCCCUCUAUACAAGAAUCCUUCAUAUCACAUAUCAUCUCAAAGAACUUCUUGUAUUUUCUUAUUCAACUCCUUGGAUUUUCUCUCAAAAAAGUUAGCAAUUCCACUUUAGAUAAAGCUACAUUGUACCUUACCCUUUGAACUUAUUGAUUUCCCUUGCCUUCUUCAUGUUAAUUUAUCAUGUGAUUGGAAAUUAAUUCAUCAGAUACUGUGUUAUCCCUUCCCCCUAUCUACUUCUUGGCCUUUUGUGAUUAUCUUAAAAGUAGCCAUUAUAGCCUUCAACUAUAAAUUAACUUGAUCGAUCUUCUUAUUUUACUGUUCCACUAUUUUUUAGAGUUUCUCGUGUAGGUGUUGUAUCUGUUCAUUCACCUUCCUUCCAUGCUUGUCUAAAGCCUUAAUUCUAUUAUUCUCUAUUUUUGCUAAUUGUUUAGUAGUAAUAAUAUUCUUUUGGUUAUGGAAUGUUGACUCGAAUACCAAUUGUCAACGACUUUCCUUAACAAAACAAGAAAAAUAGAGAAUUAAAUGGAAAAGUAUAAGAAAAGAAAAGAAGAGAGAUAAAAGGAACUGCAAUUCUAUAGAAAAUCAAUUUCUUAUUAUUCAUCCCUUAAGUUUCAUACAACUAGUGUUUUAUAAAAAGACUUUAUGCCAAUUCUAACUACUAACAUAAUUCCACUAACUAACAACUAGCUCAACUUCCUAACUUCUUAGCCAUGUCAAUUCCUUCCUACUGCUUCAAUUCUAUAAUUACCAAUUAUUGUAACUAUUGUUGUAGCUGUCUAAACCAUUUUCUAUAUAAAAAGUUGUAAUAGCCUUUAGGCAAGAGGAGACAUAAAUAUAUAAAAUUAGGUAUCAUAAGAGUCUCCGUAUAAAUAUAAUGUUCUUGGUCUUUGAGGGUUUUAAAUUAUAACAAACCUUAUUAUCCUCCGCUCCGUCUAUACUAGUUGGUAUCAAAGCCCAAUGAUUCCUAGUGAUUUUGGUUAAAGAUCGUAGAGGAAGUGUGUUGUGGCUCAUCUAUUUUUAGUGGUUUUAUGUUGUUGAAUAACCAUAGUUGGAAGAUGUAGCAUAACAAGACAUGCUUGUGUUGAAAGGGAUGACGAGGUUUUCAUAUGGAAAAAGACAUCCUAGAACUAGAAUGUUAUUUCCAUUUGUAUGAGUAUCUUUUAUUAAAAAUCAUGGUGGUGGGAUCCAUGAUGGGGAAGACCAUAUAAAAGUGUUAUGUCAGGGAUACACGAUAGGACGAAUCGCACAAAUGUUGUGGUAGACUACACAAAGAUGUUAGGGAUCCACAAUGGGGUAGACCACAUAAAAGUGUUGUGUUAAGGAUCUAUAAUGGGAUGACUCGCACAAAGAUGUUAUAUUAAGGACAUAUGAUGUGGUAGUCCACACAAAGAUAUUAGGGAUUCACAAUGGGGUAAACCACACAUAAAAAGAUGUUUGUGAUGGAUGAUGGUCUUUUAAUAAGAUUUGAACUCAAUGACAAGUUCCUUUCAACUUAGAGAGACUAAUUUAGAAGUUUUUUUAGUUAAUUUAUUUUAUUUUAUUUUUUAAUUCAAUAUUAUUCUAUUUUUUCUAGUUUUUCAUAUUUGUUCUAUUUUUUCAUAUUUGAAUUGAAUAUGUUUUUUAUGUUAUUUUUUCUAUUCAUUAUUACUGGGGUUUUUUAAUUUUUUCUAUAUAAAAAUUGUAAUAGUCUUUUAGCAAGUGGAGACAAAUAAUUCAUCAAGCAGUCCAAAUGGAAUAAUUAUUGACUAAGUAAACAAUGUCUCUCUUUUAUUAUUGGUUAUUAUUAAUAUUUUUCAACUUUCAAUUAUUAUACCAUAUGUACACUAGUCUUGUUUUUAUAAAGGACAUCAUCAUUUACAUUAGUCUCCAAUAAAAAUCUUACCAUUCAUUUGUCUUCGUCCAUAACGAUAGACUUAGAAUUCAUUGGCUUCCAUACAAGACGCUAAGCUUAACAUUCAUCGGCUUUCAUCAAGGAUGACAAGCUUGUUUUUCAUUAGCUUCCACAAGGAUGACAAGCUUGUCUUUCAUUUUACAUUUUCUUUUUUUUUCUUUUUUACACCACAAUACAAUAAUAUAAAUUAAAGAAACUUACAACAAUAAUUUAAAUAGAUAAGGUGCUAAGCACUUACCAGCUCUUCCUGCCGACCUCGCUCCCUCAGCUAAAGAUCUAACUCCUUGUGCUCUCCUGAAUUUUAAAAAGGAGAUAUUAGUAUUUCUAACAAUUUAACCACAUUAAUCAAUAUCCAUGUUAUUACAAUCCCAUCUAUAUUUUACUUUCAUCAACCUAAUUAUUACCAUAAAUUUCAAUAUCUUGAGAAUCUACAAAUUAUUAUUUAAUUUCUUUAAUCCCACACCUUCCACACCAAUUCUUUAACAUACCUUAAAAGAAAACUUAGGGAUUUCUUCCCGUAUCAUAAUCAAACUUCAAAUAACAUGAGUUAUAUAAUUUAUGACACCUUACCCAAAGAUUUUGAACCCAAAAUCACUUUCUUUACAACUUCCUUUUGAAUCCUUUGUUUCUCACUAAACUCAACUAUUUUCCUAUUAUUUUCGACUUUAACCUAACUUCCAUUUACCAGUUCCUACUUUCAUAUAUAAGAUAUUUGAAUCUUUUAUGAAUUUAAGUGGAAAGUGCGAGAAAAAAAAGAUUAAUCCUUAAUUUUCUUCUUUGUGGCAAGUGGGUCAUUAUAAAAGGGAGGGAGAUGGACUUUUUAUUUAUUUAUUUACAAUUUUCCCCUUAAUGAGUCCAUAUAUUAUUUUAUGUAUUUCCUCCUAGCCAUUGGUAAUUUUGUAUAGCUUUUCAGAACUCUAAUUGACCUAAAAUUUUAACCUAUGGUAGAAUAACAUGUUAGAAGACUGCUCGAGAAAUUUCAGCAUAAUCCAACAGUUGGAUUGAGAGUUAUGUUUGAUAGUAAAAAUUGAACAAUAGAAAAUAUUCUUAUGAAAAAAUCCAGACUCCUAUUUUUUUUAUUUACAUAAAUCAUCAAUAUUUUUAAACUAAUUCAUUGGAGACUUUCAUUCAUAUUUAUCUCUCAUAAAAAUUUCAUUUCAAUUAAUAACGUGUUUAUUUUAUUUAUUUUCUAUAGUCAAACUUUACCACUAGUUGAUAGAACUCAUAUAAUUUUUUUUUACUGAAGGGUCUAUAAUUAUUUUGUCCAAUUAAUACCUAUUAGUGUUGAAAAAAAAAACAGGCUUAGUUUCCUCUUUUAGUGUUAUGCAAGUUAAAAUGCUAAAGUGGGAUAAAUAAGGCUUUGGCAAUAUUUUUACUCACAAAAUGAGGGUUCUAUAUAGGCUUCAAAGAACUCAACAUUAUGUGACUAAGGGAGGUAAUCCUUUUCUGUAUGAUUUAGAAAAGAAUUUGACAAAGGAAUACAAUCUCAUUUUAUCUCAAGAAGAGAUUUAUUGGUUUUAAAAGUCUAGAUGCCAAUGAAUUGCUUAACUCCUUUUACUCUCAUACCAAGGCAAAGAUUAGAAGGAUAAAAAUAUAAUAAAAUACAUAAGGGAUAGUAAUGAUGAAUGGAUGUGGGAUGAUGUCUCUUUAAAACUCAUAGUUGUAGAUUUUUACAAGGGUUUAUUCACUAGAGAAAUAGAUGUAGUUCAAAGUUUUCCUUUAUAAGGUGUUGUCCCGAAGCUUAAACGAUUUUAUAGAGAUUGGUUACUUGAACUAGUAAUAGAUGGGUUUCAACCUUGUUUUUAUUUAUCUCAAUAAAAAUUGUAUUGUUUGAUAUGAAGCCUUUUAAAGCUUUAGGGCUAGAUGGGUCUCAACCUUGUUUUUGUUGAUCUCAAGUUUGUGAGACAACUUAUAGAUAACAAAGUUGAAGUUGUUGAUAUCAAUUAGAAAUAUUUGGUUUUGAUUCCAAAAAUUCCUAACCCUGGGCUAUAUCACUAUUUUCGCCCUAUUGGUAUGUAUAAUGUUAACUAUAAAGUUUUCUCAAAGGAUUUUGUCAACAUAUUUAACAUCCUUAUACCAAAAUUGGUCUUGUAAUUUCAGAGCAGUUUAUGCCAAGAAGAAAUAUUACAGAUAAUAAAGUAGUGGCAUAUGAAAUCAUCCACUUCAUGAGAAAUAUAAAAGGAAUGAGAGGUUGUAUGGCCAUCAAAAUUGAUUUGGAGAAAACAUAUAAUUAGUUAAGGUGAGGUUUCAUUAAACUUACCUUGGAGGAUGUGGGGUUUUCUGAGGAGAUAGUGGUCCUUAUUAUGAAAUGCAUUAAGAUAGUUUCUCUUAGAGUUCUGUGGAAUGGUAGUCCUUCGGCUAAUUUCACUUCUAUAAGAGGAAUUCGUUAGGGAGGUCCUCUCUUAUUUUAUAUAUUUAUAUUGUGUCUAAAACGACUAUCUCAACUUAUUUGCAAGAUUUUAGAGUUAGGAAUAUAUUAUGUGAGGCUUGUCAAAGAACUAGUCAAAGAACCAUCUCAACCCAAAAGCAUAAGCUGUUAGGUGAGGUCCUAGGAUAUGAUUUAUAUUAUUCUCUAACACACUCCUUCAAGUGAAAGCCCUUUAGGCUUGAAACUUGCAUAAACUCACAUUACUUUGUGCUUAAUUUUUAUCAAAUAAAUGAGAAUUGUGAGAUUUGAACCCGUGACCGCUUGGUCAUCAAGGCUCUAAUACCAUGUCAAAGAACCAUUUCAACCUAAAAGUUUAAACUGUUAGGUGAGGUCCUAGGAUAUGAUUUAUAUUAUUCUCUAAUAAAGCUUCUAGUUAGAAAGUAAGUAUUGCGAAGACUAAGGUAUUUUUUCCAAAUAAUAUUUCAGAUUGUAACCUCCUUCAAUUCAUAUUCUAUAACUUGAUCGCUUUAUUGAUUUCAUGUUUUUUUCCAAUUUUUUUUCUUUUAGUAAACCAAAGGAAAGAGAAGUAGGAAGAUGGGAAAACUGAGUAGGAAAUAGGGUAGUUUUCGUUAAAAAAAAAAAUUGAAAUGAGGAUGCUUACAAGCACUAUUAUAAUAAACUCCGACAGCGAAUGAACAAUUAAAAGGAGCUUUCCAGGUGGGUGAACCGAUUUUUUGCCUUUUCGCCAUGUUCGCACGUAGUAAAACUUUAUUUUCCAGUAAGGCCCAAAACCACAUGAUACUUGACCUACCAGACAUCUAUAAACCUUUUUCUUCAACUUUCCAAAACCCCCCACCAAUCUUUUUUAACAGAACUGAUCAGCGUGUGAGCAGCAAGAAAAGAUCAAGUUGCUGUGGUUAACUAGUCCCCACCAUUGGCACUCACCAUCGAUCCCACGUCGAUUUCACCUUCCAGUUCAUCUGGGCCAUUUUGUGUUUCAAGUUUUCUUCAUGGAAAUAAAUAGCAGAAGAAAAAACAGUCUGGUGGAUGAGGAUGAGGGUGACCUAGCUCUCUUCCUCCUUUUUCUUGAUUGAUCCAUCUCAUACAUGGCACAUCACAGCUCCUGGACAUUUGUCAUCAUGACCCAUGCAGAUAUUGCAUGCACGUAUAUACAUCUUGACGUUUUCGUAUUAUGACACGUCAUUACUCUUUUUUCGUCUAAUAAAUUUUCGUUAAUGUUGCUUACACGAAUUUGUCAAGAAGCAUAUGCCAAGUCUCCUGGAUUUAAUUUUAUGCACAGCAAGAAACUGACAUAUAUACAGUUAAUUUGCAUAAAGUAUAUAAAAAAAUCCUGCUGCUUCAGAUGAAAUCUGGACCGCCCACACAAUGACAUUAAUUAAAAGUAAAAAGUUAUUUUGUUUCAUCUGUGGUCUCAGGUUCGAGCCUUGUGGUUGCUCAUAUGAUGGCCACUGGAGGCUUACAUGGUCGUUAACUUCAGGGCCCGUGGAAUUAAUCGAGGUACGCGCAAGCUGGCCCAGACACCCACGUUAAACUAAAAAAAACAAAAAGUUAGAGAUAAAAAAUAAAUAAUAAUAACCCACUAGGAAAACGUGAUCGUAUUAACCUUUUGAUCUUUUCGUAACUGGCUAAUGUUGAUGCCACCAGAAACUCGUUUUCACUUUUGUUGCCUGUGCCAGUUGCCACCCUCAGUAACAAGAAAAAGAUCGUCGUAAUUAAUUAAUGUCCGACACGUGGAGGUAUCCAAGAGGCAAGCACAAUAAGUCAUACCACGUGUCAAGGGAAGGGGUAACAGCCACUUAUUAAUGCUGAGGUGUCGCCAAUCCUGACUGUGUAGUCUACACGUGGCAAUGGAAUGACGGCGACUUUAGCUCUGUUGUGUUGUUAACAGCAAGAAAAUGCUCCAUAAUCCCUGAGGUCUGGACAUGACCUAACUAACAAAGAUUGUUUUUCUGUGUCCCUCACCCGGUCACGUCCCUGUCACGUCCCUGUCACGUGGCUUGCCCACAGUUGGCCGGCAACGCCCCCCCUUUCUGAUUUUUAGUGACUUGUUAAAUUAUUUUUGCAUUUUUUUUUGUGUAAUAAGAAAAAAACAAUUUAGUGCAAUUAAAUAUUAAUCAUUUUUUAAUUAAAUAUUAAUAAAAAAAGUCAAGUCAGAAACUUUUAAGUUAGAGAAAUUGUAUUGAGUUUUAAAUUUUUUUUUUACAAUUUUAUAAUUCAUUACUGAGUUUUUAUUGAAUUUUAUCUUGUAGCAUUUGAUUCAUAAUAGGUGUGAUCAUUUUCAGUUUGGUUCGGUUUUUACAUAAAAAAUUAACCAAACCGACAUUAUUAAUUUUAAAAAUUUAAAACCGAAACCGGUUCAAACCGACUGGUUUCGGUUCGGAACCGGUAAAACCGAAAAGCAAAUCUCGAUGCCUAGUGCCCACAAAUUGCAAGCAAAUCUACAAGCAAAUCUCGGUUUUUUUUGUUCGGGAAAACAGAUAUGCUCAGUGCCCACAAACUAUAAGCAAAUCUCAGUUUCUGUUGUUCAAGAAAACAUAUAUGCCCACAAACUACAAGCAAAUUAUAAUUUAAUAAUAAUAAUAAUAAAAAGCAAAAACCCACAAGAUGCAGGGAUGAACUUGAAAUGGAGUUAGAAUCUUAAUCAUUAAAAAACCAUCUCUUUUUUUUAUCUGCCCAGUGUGAUGUGGUUUGAUUAGAAUAAAUGUUGAUGCAGGGAUGAACUUAAAGAGAUUAGAGAUAGAGAGAAAAGAAGGGGGGGCUACGGGGAGAGAUGAGAGACAGAGAGAAAAAGAGAGGAAAAAAUAGGGGGUUGUGAAAAGAUGAUGAGAGGCAGAGAAAAGAAAGGUGGUGCCAGCUGCUGAAUAUUACUUUAGGUUUAUGAUUGAAAAAACAUCCUAUUUAUACUUGUUUUUUUUUAAGUGUUGGCAUGGUUGAACCGGUUCCGUUCGGUUCAAUCUGUUUCAGACUUUGGAAACCGAAACUGAACCGAACCAGAACUUUUUUGUGAUUUUUUAAUCGGUUAAUUCGGUUUUUUUUUCGGUUCGUUUUUUCAGUUAUUUUUUUUCUGGUUUUUUCGGUUUAAUCGGUUUAUCGGUUUUUUUGCUCACCGCUAAUUCAUAAUAAAUUAAUUUUUUAUUUUUUUCAUAUAAUAAUAUAAAAAAAAUAACUUAACUCAAUAGAGUCCAUAAACCAAUUGUAAAUUUGAUGAGUUGACUAAAUAUUAAUAAAAAAAUCACGUUAGAAAUUUAAUUUUAAGUAUAAACCAUUAUAUUAAAUUUAAUAACAAUUCUGAAAAAAACACUAUUUUAUUUUAUUUUAUAGUACAAGAUAUUUGAGUCCAGCCUGCAACAAAAGGGCUGGCGAUAAACUAGUGUUGAACUAAAUAAUAACACUUGCAUGCACGUGACGUUUAAAAAAUAAUUGAAAUUGGAUCUCACUGACGUCUAAAAAUGAAAAGAAUGGAAGGUGAUCCAUAAAAUCAUUUUUUUUAAUUAAAAAAAUAAAUAUAUAUAAUAAUCAUCCUUAGGCCUUUUGGUAGACAUCAUAUCUUUAAUCCAAUUUAUAUAUAUAUAGAGAGAGAGAGAGGGAUAAGGCACUGAGUUCCUGAAUUCGCAUCCAACCGCAUAAUGUGAUAUUGAAUCCAGUAGGAUCCCAUUCCUUUGUUGUGUCAUGUCAUCGAUCGGUUGAGUGAAGAGUUGAAAUUAAGAGAUUUGGGCCUUUUAUUUUAUGAUUGUGUUGUGUUCUUCGGUGUUUUUUUUUUAAUUAUGAGAUAAAAACAGUGCUCGGUGACUGGUUAAUAUAUAUAUAAAUAUUGCUUUUUUAAUGUUUAAUUAAGACGACUAAUUAAGUUGUAUUGGAUAAAAAAUAAUAAAAAGUAGGGGGCUGAAUAUUUCCUAGAUAUAAAGAAAGUCUUAUAUCCAAUCUGCUUUUCUUUAAUCAAAAGUGCAUGAUGGAUUUAAUUAUUUCGGAUCUUGGAGUAUAAUACCGCUCACAUCCAAAAUCUUUUAUGAUUUGAUAUAUUAUGCUCGAUCAGUCGAUCAGUCAGCUAGAAUCAAAAAUACAUUAUUAUUAUUAUUAUUAUUAUUAUUGAGAUAAUAAAAAACAUAAACUUGAUAAAAUUAAAUACUAUAAAAACUUUGAUAAAAAGAAAUCAAAAGAAUCAAAUUGAAAUUAAUAUUAUUCUUAUUGAAAAAAAAAUUAAAAACCUGAUAUGAUUAGUGAUAAAAUUGAAAACCAUAAAAACUUUGAUAAAAGAGCAAGGAAAAAAAAUUAAAAAAUCAAAAGUAGAAGGACAUAAAUAAAAAACUUACAUUUACAAAUUAGAAUUGAAAAAUUAAAUUGAAAACAAAUAAAACUUUAACAAAAAAGAAAAAGACAAAAAUCAAAACUAAAAUGACUGAAUCUGAAACACCAACAAUAAUAAGUUCUGAAGUUGAUUUUCUAGGGUAGGAGAGAGAAACAAACGGAAAAAAAAGGGUCAUUGGUAGGGGUGAGUAAAAAAACUGAAAAACCAUUUAAAUAGAGAAAACUGAAAAAAAAUAACCGAAAAAACCGAAUUGUGAAAAAAAACCUAUUAAAUUGAUUAAAAUUUUGAAAAAAACCGACCAGUUCGGUUCUGGUUUUAUAAGCCUGAAACCGGAAAAAACCAAACCGAAAAAAACCGAGUCAAAUCGGAAAAAACUGAGCCAAACCGAGAAAACCGAGCCAAACCGGUUUUUGUCCGAAAAAACCGAACCGAACCGAAACCGAUCAGUUUGAACCGGUUUCGGUUUUUUUUUUUAAAUUCAGUUUGGUUAUUUUUUUUGAUAAAAACCGAACCGAACCGAAAAUGAUCACCCCUAGUCAUUGGUGACAAACCAGUUACCUUUAGAUGCCACCCACCACCAAUAAAGAAAAAAGACACGGAGAAGAACCAAAUGAGACGGCGAAAGCUCAUUUUACACCAUUAGAAGACGCCGCACACGCCACCCAAAAUGUGUGGCGUCUCCCACACGCCAUCAGCUUUUUGCAUUUAAAAACUAUAAAUUAAAUGGUAAAUUACGUUACAACUCUCAACCAAACCAAUAAUUACAAAAAAAAAAGCAUGAGAAAAAGACAAAAACACCCCUAUUUCAAUCGCUUAAAUCUUUUGUCCUUAAGGUUAUAUAUUAUAUACAUAAUCUUACUGUAUUUUAAAAAGGAAAAAAUAACAAUAUCUCUGCCCUAAAGUGUUAGUUUUUUCUUUAUUCCAGUGGUAUUUUGGUUGUUUUACUGAUCAUAAUAUAUUGCAUAAAUAGAAAUACCUUUAAACAAAUCUAUAUAUAUUGACUAGUUCAAAGACAAAUAAUUUUUCUUAGAAUGACAAAAAAUUCACUAUAUUGUAAUGAUAAAUAGAAAAAUAGCAGUGAGGUUGUAGUAUUUUUCCCUUGAUCUGAUUUAGUUGUUGUGUAACGUGGGACACCAAACAAUGAAGUUGAAGCUCCUUUGCUAAUUAAUUCGUUUCACUGCUUUCUCUGUAAUAUCUCUCCAACCUUAAUUUUUCGUGAUAAGAAAAAAAUAGAGAUUUGUGUGGCUUGGUACAACUUAAAUCAAGGUGGACGUUAUUGAAUAUAUAUUGUUUAAAUUGAAUGAUGUAGCUUAAUGUGAAUUAAUUGGUAGGAAGUAUAUUUUUUUUUAGUUUAACGUGGGUGUCCGGGCCAGCUUGCGCGCACCUCGACUAAUCCCAAAGGCCCUGAAGUUAACGACCAUGUAAGUUUCCAGUGGCCAUCAUAUGAGCAACCACAGAGCUCGAACCUGAGACCACAGAGGGAGCAAACCUCUUAGUUCCAAGCUCUUACCACUAGGUCAUCACCUAGAUAAUUAGUAGGAAGUAUAUUACUGCGAUGGGUCAUGGUGCCAUGUUGGAUCUAAUCCCAUGGCCAGUAAGUAGGAAAUAAUAGUUAAUAGGCUUUUAUGUAAGAGUCUGUUUUUUAUUUUUUAUUUAGAAAUAUAUUAAAAUAAUAAUUUUUUUAAAAAUUUAUUUUUAAUAUUAAUAUAUGAAAACAAUCUAAGAAUACAACAAAAUUUAUUCAAAAUUUUUAAAAACCCUAGCUAAAACAUGGGAUAAACAACCUCUACACGUAAAAGAAUGCCGACACCAGCUUUUAGAGCUCGGCGGCCACAUUAGGGUCGCUAGCUGCGUAGUUUUCUUUUUAUGGAAUGUCGUGUUGAUAUUUUGAAGUAGAAUCUCUUAGCCUUUGUAUUUGAUCAUUCUGUAUUUCAAUCCCCGUCUUUUUGUAUUGCUCGUUGCUGAUGAUCAGCUUCGUGAGAUAUGAGUAUAAUUAGCUUUUAUGGUUUGGUUGCAUAAUAUAACUUUUUUUUUUCACUUAUAUCCUUGGAAGCUCAAAGUUGGUCGAAAUAUAUUCAUGUAUUAUUAUUUUUUUGUGUGUUUUUUAUUAAUUAAUACUCUAAAAUAUAUAGGAAAAGUACUGUAGCUUUUUCUAUAUUUUUUUCCCCAUAUUUUUUUUUGUUUUUUUCCCUUUUUUUUUGGGUUUUCCCUUUUUUUUCUUUUUUUCCCAAGACUAUAUUCUUCUUCUUCUUUUAUUAUUUUUUGUUUUUGUGUUUUUUUAAAAUUAUCUUUGUUGAUUUUUUUAAUAUUGAACUGGUUGAGAAUUUAGUUCUGUAGUUUUUUUCUUUAAAACAUUAUGGAUUACUAUAAUAUUUUCCUACAUGGUUUUUUUUUUUUUAUGAUUUUUUUUUCAAAAUGGUUUUUGUCGAUUUUUUUUUAUAUUGAGCUGGUUGAGAAUUUUGUUUCAUAGUUUUUUUUCCUUAAAACACUGUGGAUUAUUACAAUGUUUCCCCACAUGAUUUUUGUUUUGCUACAGUGUUUCCCAUAUGUAUUUUUUUAAAUUAUCUUUGUCGAUUUUUUUAAAAUAUUGAGUUAGUUGAGAAUUUAGCUUUAACUUUCCCCACAUGUUUUUUUUUUCAUUUUUUUUGCUUUUUUUUUUCAAAAUUGUCUUUUUUUUUGUUUUUUUUAGAAUUGUUUUUGUUGAUUUUAUUUUGUUAAUAUGGAGCUGAUUGAGAAUUUAGCUUUGUAAUUUUUUUUCUUUAAAACACUGUGGAUUGCUACAGUGUUUCCCUACAUGGUUUUUUUUUUCUCUUUUUAUGAUUUUUUUGUUUUUUUUUCAGAAUUGUCUUUGUCGAUUUUAUUUUUUUCAUAUUGAACUGAUUGAGAAUUUAGCUUUGUAGUUUUUCUUUAAAACACUAUGGAUUGUUACAGUGUUCCCACACAUGAUUUUUUUUUUUUAUGAUUUUUUUUAAAAUUAUCUUUAUCGAUUUUAUUAUUUUUAAUAUUGAGCUGGUUGAGAAUUACAACUAUAGAUUUCCUCAUGAAACACUAUAGAUUGCUAUAGUGUUUUCCUGUAUGGUUUUUUUUCCUUUUUUUUGUUAUGAUUUAUUCCAAAAAAAUUUUAUUGAUUUUAUUUUUUUAAUAUUAAAUUGAUUAAGAAUUUAGCUUUGUAAUUUUUCUUUGAAAAUAUUAUGGAUUGUAACAGUUUUUUUUUAUAUUUUUUUUUAAUAAAUCCACGACAAUAUAUAACCAUGGCCGAAGACAUAACAUUUUUUAUUCUAGUUCAAGGUCACCACUCUCAACAAUGAUGUCACAAACAGUAGUGGUGAUAAAUAACAUGGAAAUUUGUCGCAAAGAUUUUGGAGAAAAGGAAGAAAACAUGCACGUGAUUUGAACAUUCCAAGAACUCAGCCAAUCAGCCAAUUCCCUCUUGAAGAGGUAAUGUGAGACACAACGAAGACCUCAUAUGCUGUCGACACGGACCAUCUGAUCCCUAACGAACAAAAGUCAUGGCCACAGUCGCCUUCGGCCAGUCCAUUAGGCGCUCCGUCAAGCAACCUAAAAACGUCAAACCACAUAAUUGGCUAGCUAGUCGCUUACAAACCCAGUUCACGCGUAGUUUUAAAACCCGGUUUUGUUCUUGUGGGUUAAUCCGUUUGAUCUAGAAUCAGAAUUAAACUAAGUUUAAAAAUAAAUAAAAAAGAAAAAGAAAAACUUGAGUCGUUAUUAAUUUAUAAAAAAAAUUAAGAUCAACCUGAAAUUACUCUAAUAACUCAGUCAAAACCUAUCAUGCAGGUCUUAGUCUUGGGUCAAGUCAAUCAUCAGGCCGAGAUUAAAUACUCCGACUUCACGUAUACAAUGGAUGUUAGGUCCAGGAUCAACACAAACAUAGCACAUGCAACUGUCCAAACACGUGUACGGUAAGGAUGAACAUGAUUGAUGUUAGAUUCAUCAUGCAUCGGUGGACCCAGAUACUUUCUUAUCAAGUCUAGUUAUUUUCAGAAUUUAGCUCAUACUAACCAUCUCACCUGCGACGAUAUUAUGUGGGCUCAAUAUUUUUUUAACAAAAAAAACUAAAAAUAUAGGUUUUUUCAAUAUUUUUUUACAUAAAUAUAUAAAGGGUAAAAAAAACUUAUACAAAUUAAAUAAAUCAAGAGUUAUCUAUGUUAAUUAAUAAAUAAAAAUAGUCAUUAAUGAUAACUAAAUACAUAUCUGGAAAAAUCAAAAGUCAAAUGUAAAUCAAGAUAUUUGUUCUCGCAACACGAUUUAUUUACCCAAUUUUGUUUAAUAAUUUUGUUAAUUAAAAUUAAUUUUUUAUUUAAUUAAAUGAUAGCAAAAAUAGACACACAAAUAGAAUUGAUUAAAUAAAAUCAAAUAAAAAAAGAUAUCUCGCGAGGUUGAACUUAUUAGAAAUACCAUGCAAAAAAAUAUUUUUUAAUUAAAAAAAGUCAUAGAUGAAUUAGAAUAAUCUCUUCAAAAAAUAAAUACAAAAAAUAUAAUUAAAAAACAACAACUAUUUUAAAAAAGGCUAAAUAAGAAAAACAAAAAAAAUAGAGAGAAUGUGUAUUAAUUUAAAUAUAUAUUAAAAACAAAAAAAUUGAGAGAAAGGGUAUUAAUUUAAAUAUAUAUUAAAAAUUUAUCUUAAAAAAAAUAUGUUUUUUAAAAAAUAAAACAGAAAAAAAAGGCCAGAUGUUACUGAGCCUGACCCAUCUAGGAAGGGGCAGCAUGUGGGCGUUAAUUUUUUUUUAAUGUAAUUGCGGUAUUUUUUUUAUAGAAAGAACAAUCAGACAACACGUCGUCUAGUAUUUCUUAGAUUCCAGCCAAUGCGGUGAUUGACAAAAUAGGUUAUGUGUUUUUUUUACCAAAAAACUCAUUUCAACCCAUUUGUUUUUUUGUUUUUACCCAAAACACCCAGAAAAGAAACUAAAAACUUUGACAAAUCCAUAAAUGGAGUUAAAAAAAAAAAAACUAAAAUCAGCCCGAAAUAAAAAAUCUUUCCAAGCUCAGAUUUGGUUUUUUAGGCAAUUUUAAGGCACAAAAAACACCUAGGUGGAACUCUCUUCACUAAAUGAAACUCUUUGACACCAAGAUAGACUAUUUUGGUAGCGAUAACACCCUUUUACUUCCUUUACCAUCGAGAUCCAACGAUCUUUCUCUCUCAUCUCUCAAACCAGAAAUUAAAAACUAAAAUAAAAAUUGAACUUUCAUACUAAAAUUGAAUUGAAAAAACAUUAAGGGAUUGGAUAUGUAUAAUUUAUAAAGGGUGAGAACUAAAUUAAAUAUUUUGUGUGAAUUUUGAAACUAUCAUCGUGGCUCAUUUUAUACUUUGGUUUAUAUUUUUUUAAUUUUAUUUUUAAUCAAUAAAUUUAAUCUAAUUAACCUUCAAUUUGGCCUAGAAAAGAUGUAAUUGCACAAAAAAAAAUUGAAAAAAAUAAAAUUUUGAACAGAAAAUCCACAAAUAUGAAAGAGUGAACAAUAUUCAGGUACAAUGUUUUCACCGCAUAGUUUAGAGUACUUGUUAAUAAUUGUGGAAUGAUAUGCUCAUAUUAUUUGUUAACAAGUCCAAUUAUUAAAAAAUUAUGACAAGUUGGCAAUCACUCGAUGGCUCGCGAUACGCCACGUGCCAGAUAAAAGUGAAAAUACAGUGUGAAAAAGUGAAAUCAUGGUGACAAAAGCCCUGCUGUGAAAAAGAAAAAAGGACCUACUUUUCCGUUUAAUGUUUUGUUGUUUUAAUGGAAAAGCUAGUCACUUUACUGUACAAAAAAGUGAAAAUACAGCGUCAAUGAUUUAGAGGUACAGUAAACUUGCUACACUCAUAGAAGACCUCCCUUUUUAGUUUCUUUUAAUAAUAAUAAAAAUAAUUGAAAAGUCCAGGGGUGUUUUGGUAACUUGGUGGACACCCUCUCAAGCGCACCUUAUAAGUAGUGGCUCCAUCAUUUGAUGUAGUGUUGCAGUUUAGACAUUAUUACACUUCCCUCGAAAAGACAUAUCCUCUCCCUAGGUUCUUCCUUCCUGUCCUUCAUCGGACUUUAGCCUAGCACUACUCUAAGGUACUAGGAGGGCAAGUCCUUUUGUACCGGCACUGUAUACUUUGUCAUCUCGGCAUGCAAAACUCUCCUCAAGGUACGAGUAGAGACAGUCCUUUUGUACGAUUACUGCUUCCUUCAAUUCAUCUACGAGUCUCUGUGCGCGCGCGCGUGUAUAUAUAUAUAUAUAUAUAUAUCUCCUCCUCUCCAUUUUCUAUAUUCAAACAGAAAACACAUCUAGCUACUGUAAACGGAAAGGUCUACAAUUUUAUACUAGCUAGACUGUUUAGACAGAAAACUAUUGAUCGUUUUUCUAGCUUUCUUGACUCUCUUCAAGCCAGUUAGUAUCGAGCAAUGUUCAUCAAUAUCCCUUAACAGAAUCUCAUAUUAAUAUCUUCGUUUUCUUUUUUUAAUAUCGUUGAGAAGAUUGUAGCAUGGAGAGAGCAAACACAUCCUUAGCGAGAACCAAAUCAGAACAAUUGGCUGAGACAGUGGAGGCAGCGUUUAAAUCUCCCAUGAACAACGAUGGGGUUUCCGAAGGCGGCAGCGGCGGGACACUCUCAGGUAAGUCCAGCAAGAGGCUAACGACGGCAGCCUCACCGGGACGUACCACUUCGGGUGGUAACAAAAAUACACACAUUAGGAAGUCAAGGAGUGCACAGAUGAAGUUUGAAUUGGAUGACGUCAACAGUGGAGCAGCUCUAAGCCGGGCCUCUAGUGCCAGCCUGGGCUUCUCUUUCUCCUUCACUGGCUUCAACAUGCCACCUGAUGAAAUAGCUGACUCCAUGCCGUUUAGUGAUGAUGAUAUACGUAAGUCUAUAUACACCUUUUUUUAAUGAUUCUUCAUUGUUUACUAGCAUAUGGUUGGAGGUGUUAUAAUUUUGUAUGGUUUGUGUGGUCCAGUACUUGAGUAUGGGUGGUGGAGGUAUGUCCAGUCUUUGUCCUGGCUUGAUAAUCUGAAAAGGUUUCAUGAUCUAGCUAGAAAGUAGAACCUUUAGGCAUGAAGAACAAGCUACAGGGCUUACUGCAUAUUGAUCUGGUGAUCAGAACAACAUGAAUGUGAGAGAACUCAUGAAAUUUAUGACUUGCUUGGUUUUCUGUUUCCACGCAUACGCAUGCUGCUUUUUCUUUGAACCGAGUACAUAUUUCUAUAUCGUAUCACGUUAUCACUUUCAUAAUUUGCAAACGGGGUCUCCUAAAUUCGGGUUUUUUUUGGGUUUUCCUCUGAAGUAAAAGUAAAACUCAUAAAAUAUGACGAGUUUCACUUUUUAUCUUAAAAUGGAGCAAUUCAUGAGCGAGUAGCUACUAAGUUAUAUGAGAAUAGUGCAUGGGUGGUACUGAGCUAGUCGCAGAUAAUAAUUGGGGUCACAGAGAGUUAGGCAAGACAUGCACUUGCCAAGCCUUAAAUGUGGGAAAAAUUCAAUAUGAAAAAGCGGCCAGCUUGUGACGAGGGGGAGGAAAGUGAGCAUGAUCAUGUUAACAACCACUUGCAAAAAUGGGAAGGCAGUGCGUGAGAAGCGGGUCCCUUGUCUCUUCUCCUGUAAGGAAAAAACCUAGGCCUCCUUUCAACCUUGGAUUAGAGAUCUGCAACAUAAGCCUAAUGAUACCCCACUCAGCCCACAUAAAUACUGAUGGGGUAUUUUUGGCUCUUAUUUUCGUAGUGGUAGUUACUCAGUCUUGCUUCAGUGCGCACUGCAUUAUUUUUCAUGUCCAAGUCACUGGUGUUAAUGGAAGGUUGAUGUCCAAUCUCUUUCUGCUAGCUCAUAACCACUUGAGUAGAUUCUCUCCCUGUUUUUUUUUUCCCUACAGUUAUUUGGAUCCUUAUGAGCUUAAUUUCCAAUACUGAAAGUAUUAAAUUCAUCUCUUUUUUUGGGUAUAAAAAUAAGUUAUUCAUAUCAAAAUUAGGAGAUUUAGGGGUUUUUUUUCUUGCAAAUCUACAGCACUACAAGUAUAUGGUGUUUAUCCUCCUCCUUUUUUUCCCCUUCCAAGAAUAGAUAUAAAUUAAGUCUUCCAUAUGGGCCCCAGAUCUUGGGACAAGGUUCCUGUUUAUUAUUAUGAUUAGCAAAUUGGGCCCCAAACUCUAUAGACUUUUGCUGACUUGUUGCCUCACGUAACUUUCAUCAAGGAUAUUGAUUCCCCUCGUCUUGGCAAAAAUCAUGCACCUAGAUCAUAUGUGACUUCAGAAAAUGAUAUCAGCACUCUUCCUCUUCUGUCGUAAUCCUCUCUCAAUGAUAAACUCUUAAAUGGUUAGGUGAUGGGAGGAUCGUACGUGACAUUGAGGUUACAGAGUUCUCUUUACUGUUGAUUGAAUUUGUUGGGAUCUUUAAAUUGUGACCAUUGCAACCAUAUCUUCAGGAAUUAUUGCAGCCACAAAGUUGUGAAAUGAUAUGACAGAAGCUUCAAUCUCUCCAAUCAAGUUAUGAUUCAAUUGGCAUGUUAGCCGAUACUAAUAAUUUAGAGAAAUAUUGGCUAAAAUGAGAAUUGCUUAAAAUGUUCAUCACAUACCAUGUUAUUUAUCAUUCAAGAAGCAAAACAACUUCUUCUUCUUCUUUAGCAUCAAAAACAUCUUGAUUCUGUCAUUAGUUUACACAGUCCUAUAUCUAUGGUUGUUGCAGCGGAGGAUCUUGAAGCCGGAAUGCGUAAGCAGAAAUUUCAAACUGAACCCUCCUUGCCAAUUUACCUGAAGGUAACAAAAUCUAAUUUGCGAUGCUGCAGGUUUCCAGUCUUGUUCUUCUUUAUUCUCCAAGUAGAGCUAGCAUGCACCGGUAGUAUUCAAACUAGCCUUUCCUAAUGGUGCCACGGAUUGAUACCGAUACGUUCUAUUUGGACAGGCAGGGAUGGAGAUUUAUGAUCUAGCAAUCAACGCGAUCCAUAGAAUAUGGUUAGCAUGGUCAGGUUCAGUCUUGUACAGAGUUUCAUUGUAUAUGAUAUUUUUGUACAAGACUCACCCUUCUUUCCAACAAAAAAAGAAAAUGCAGUACAAUUUAUUAACUUGCCAUGAAAACUACUAAUGGGGUCUUAAGAGUUCUAUUAACCAUUUGUAAGAACAGGAACAUGCAUUUGAGGAUAGAAAGCUAUCUUCACUUGUUUUCUUGAGUCUAAUUAGACUAGUUCCCGAGUCGAUCUCAGGUAUUGAAUAAAAAGCAAUGCUUAUUUGUCAAGGAAAGAAGGGUAUGGACAGUUUUUCUUAUAUUUUGUUAGAAAUUAGACUUUCUAACUUAGCAAUUAUCAGAUAAUCAUGUAAUGAAGUUUCCACCAUUUACCGAAUUGAACUUUGUUCUUGUUUGGGAAUCUGCAGUUCAGAGAUGUUACAUACAAGGUGAUCAUCAAAGGAAUGACCUCAACCGAGGAAAAGGAUAUCUUGAAUGGGAUCAGUGGUUCGGUGGAUCCAGGGGAAGUUUUGGCUCUUAUGGGACCUUCAGGAAGUGGAAAAACAACACUUCUGAAUCUGCUUGGCGGCAGGUUAAAUCAGCCCACUGUCGGUGGUUCAAUCACUUACAAUGACGGACCAUACUCCAAGUUCUUAAAAAGUAGGUAAGAAACUUAGAUAUCAGUGCAAGACUGGUUCGGUACUUACAGCGCUGAAUUGACUUGUUACUUGCCAAUUUAUUUUUCAUCGCGAUGACCAAAAAUCAAUGAAAAGACGCAAGAACCUGAAUUUAGCUAAGUCAGAACUUUUGUUGCAUGUACGACUAGAAAUUUGAAUCAUUGCAAAUGCACAUCAAAAUGACAUAAAAAAACAUAUGGCAGGAUAGGAUUCGUGACACAAGACGACAUUCUGUUUCCUCACCUUACAGUGAAAGAAACAUUGACAUAUGCAGCCCUCCUUCGAUUGCCAAAGACAUUGACAAAACAACAGAAGCAAAAACGAGCCAUGGACGUCAUCUAUGAGCUAGGCUUAGAGAGGUAAUGAAUUCUCAUUUCCCUGCCAUCAUCAAUCAAGGCAAAUUUGUAAUCAAUUCAAGUCAAGAAUGUUAAUAAUAGAAAUAAAUUCUGCAGCGUCUGAUUGAUCUUGCUCAUUCUUGAAAGCUAAUGUUGAUGUGCCUAGGUGCCAAGACACCGUGAUUGGUGGCUCAUUUGUGCGUGGAGUGUCAGGUGGGGAGAGGAAAAGAGUUUGCAUUGGCAAUGAGAUUAUAAUCAACCCUUCAAUCUUGUUUCUUGAUGAACCAACCUCGGGCUUGGAUUCUACAACUGCUUUAAAGACAGUGCAGCUGUUACAAGAUAUGGCAGAGGUAUUCUAUUUGUGAUGCUUCUUAUUCAAGUUUUUGGCCCUUUCAUCAGGAGAUAGUGUUGCAUUUUUCUGCUACCAACUUGUUUCCAUUUAAUGGCAGGGUGGGAAAACAGUGGUGACAACUAUCCACCAGCCAUCUAGUAGACUCUUCCACAAAUUUGACAAGUUGAUUCUUCUUGGGAAAGGGAGUUUGCUUUAUUUUGGAAAAUCAUCAGAAGCAAUGCUGUACUUCUCAUCUAUAGGUUGCAACCCGCUUAUUGCCAUGAACCCUGCAGAGUUCUUGCUAGACCUUGCAAAUGGCAAUAUAAAUGAUGUUUCUGUCCCAUCUGAAUUGGACGAUAAAGUGCAAAUAGUGAAUUCAGAUGCAGGAAAAAGAAACGGGAAGCCUUCUCCUGCAGUUGUUCAUGAGGUAAUGAAGUAUACACAGACAGACUUUUGCGUUCUUAACAUCAAAAGCUGCUAUUUAACUAGAUAAUGUUUCUGUCGAAAACAGUACCUCGUGGAGGCCUAUGAGACACGAGUUGCGGUCAAAGAGAAGAAGAAACUAAUGGUUCCUAUACCCCUUGAUGAAGAAGUGAAGGCAAAAGUGUCUUCUCUGAAACGACAAUGGGGGGCAAGCUGGUGGCAACAAUAUACCAUUUUGUUCUGCAGGGGAAUCAAAGAAAGGCGGCACGACUAUUUUAGCUGGUUGAGAAUCACCCAAGUUCUCUCUACUGCAAUUAUCUUGGGAUUACUAUGGUGGAAUUCAGAUACUAAUAGCCUCAAAGGUCUUCAAGAUCAGGUAAAUAAUGGUCCGGCCAAGAUCAACCCUUGGGCCUUCUCUUUUCCAUUUCAGGCUCAAAGUUUACUGAAGCACUUCUCUGAAAACCUAUCCGAAACCAUUGAAAAUCAACUGAAUUACAAAAAAUCAGUCUGGCUCAUAAUCACAAAAGCACAUUUUUUGUUUCCUGAAGCUCCUUUACACAAACAACAUAAUUUCACUUAGUAAACUUAAACCUUCUUGGAUUACAGGCAGGGCUGCUGUUCUUCAUUGCGGUUUUCUGGGGAUUUUUUCCUGUAUUCACAGCAAUCUUCACAUUUCCCCAAGAAAGAGCCAUGUUGAGUAAAGAACGGGCAGCUGACAUGUACAGACUAAGUGCAUAUUUCUUGGCAAGGACUACAAGCGACCUUCCACUUGAUCUAGUACUACCAGUACUUUUCCUUCUCGUCGUCUACUUCAUGGCAGGCUUGCGAAUGAGUGCUGCUCCAUUUUUCCUAACCAUGCUCACGGUUUUUCUCAGCAUUAUUGCUGCUCAGGUGAGACUAGUUUGCAAUACUAACGAAGAAGGGUGUCAAAGAAAAACAAUUUAAAAUGUAAGUAUUUAAUCAAGCAUGUCUCCAUGGCAGGGACUCGGACUAGCUAUUGGGGCUACCCUGAUGGACUUAAAGAGGGCCACAACUCUAGCUUCAGUUACUGUGAUGACCUUCAUGCUGGCUGGAGGGUAUUUUGUAAAGGUAAGUUCAUCAAAGAUCAUUUCAUACAUCUCUCUCUAUUGCUCCUCUCCAAUGCAAUAUUUGAGUGAAUUUUUUCACAACAUUUGAAUUUUAGAUUCGCACCACAUGACACAUAUUGCUGACAUUGAUUGACCGAUAGAAAAGGACUACUCAAUAACGUCUACAAUCAAUAUUGAAGUUUCAGAGCAUGUCAUCUAGAGUGGAGUUCAUUACUUCACUAAUUGAUAACUCUCUCCCAGAAUUAGUAUUGAUUCAACUUUUUCUCACCUAAACGCAAAGAAUGGUCACAAAUGGUCUUCGAUUUUGCAGAGAGUUCCAGUAUUUGUAUCUUGGAUCCGCUAUCUGUCUUUCAACUACCACACCUAUAAGCUUCUCCUCAAGGUUCAAUAUAAACACAUGACACCAGUUUUAAAUGGAAUGAGAAUAGACAGUGGCUUGACGGAAGUUAGUGCCCUGGUGGCAAUGGUUUUUGGCUACCGUCUCUUGGCUUAUAUUUCCUUGCGGAGAAUGAAGCUUUGUGCGCAGUAAGCAAUAUUAUUCAGUGCGCAUUAUCGACAGUUAACUUCCACGUUUGACUUCAAAGAUCUAUUCCAAGAAAACUUGGGUUCCACGGAUCAGAGAAAGGGAUAUAAGCAAGUUAUCAUAUUUCAGCUCCAUGAAGAUUUUUGGAUGGAAAAAGCCUCAACGACGAUAUUUAUGCAGUAUCUUAGGCAUGUAAGUUGAUUUUUCCGCGAGGAGAAUUCCUAGAAAUGCAAUCACGUUAUAAGAAGCUCGCACUCACAAGCUCGUAUCUUUUAUAUUAAAAUGGAGUGAUGUAAUAAUAAUUGUCAGACAUACCUACCUAUGACUAAUGCAUAUCUAUUGGAAUUAGCGACUUCUAAAAGUUGGGGGAAUGAAAAACAUGGUAUCGCAUAUGAUUUGAUGGAACUUUAUUUACGUUUUCCUUGGAAAGAAAAUUUCCAAGAGCAACCGCUUAAAUACAUAGAAACCACCAGUGAUUGCUAACCAAACACCAAAUUGAGAGGGAAAAAAGGUUGUCGCACCCGAUAUCGCGGCGGCCUUAAAAAUAUAUAUUUGGGAAGAACGGAUUUUUGGCAUCCUGUUCUUUAAUAGGGAAUGAUCUUAUUUAAGGAGUCGUCACCUAGUAUUAUGGUCACUAGGAACUCUAACUGGUCAGCAGAGAUUCUAUGGUACGAGAUUGGUUAUGCAAAAAGGAAAGAUAUUAUCACCCCUUAAACGUCCUGCCCGAGGCAGGCUGCAUUGCUAAUUUUGUCAUAAAUUGCUAAUGUUUUGUUGGUUUAUGCUAUGAUGGUUUGCAUGUGAUAUUCCUGGCUUUGACGCCAGUGAAUAUUCAAAUACGGAUACUUCCAACUCUGGCGUUGGUAAAUAUUACGUAGUUAUAAAACAAAAUAAAUUUAAAUCCAUAUUUUUAUAUUCCUGACUCUGGCGUCAGUCAAUAAACAAAUAAAAUAAAUUUAUUUUUACGCAUGCACAAUUUUUUUAUUUUUCCAGCUAAAUAAAAUAAAAUACAAUGAAAGAAUAAUAUAAAUUUAAACCGGUAUUUUUAUUCCUGACUCUGGCGUCAGUGAAUAAACCAAUAAAUUUAUAUUGUUUUUAUUCAUGCAUACACAUUUUUUAUUUUUUUAAUAAUUUUUUUUGGGCUGGGCCCAGCUCAGCCCAUGUGGCUGGGCUGGACCCAGCCAGCCCGGCCAGGUCACUGGCCCAAGCCAGUGACCCGGCUGGGCAAAAACUAAAAGCACGCGUGAAUUGGUCACGCGUGCGCGAACACUGGUGAAGGUAAUUAAAUUACCUUCACACAGUGUUCUUGUAACAUUAACAAUUACAUUUUGAAAUGAAGAUACAAAGGGGAUGAAGUCAUACCUGCUUCUGGAGAUCGAAGAUGUUUGCAGCGCUGAUGAUGAUUCUCGCCUACUGUUUCCCCUUGUCUUCCUUUUGUGAUCACUUGUCUGUGCUUUCCUUCUUGCUUUCUCAGCAGCUUUUAAAACUACGAAGAUGAUGUCGGUCUGCUGUGAGUGUUCUUUGAAUGAAUACGGGUCUUUCCUUUGUUUGCAGGGACGAAGACAAUUUCAAGGAUAAUUCUCGUCACUGUGUGUGCUGCCCUCUUGUUCUCUCCUUCUCUCUGUAUAUUUUUUUUGCUCUGGUUUUUACUCUGUUCUUUGCUCUGGUUUCUGGGUUGAUUUUUCGGGUCCCUGCUUACGUUUUCUCCCCUUUUUUCUUCUCUGUUUUUCCUUUUUUUUUUCCUCUGAGAUCUGUAUUUAUAGUGUCAGAGUCUUUUCGCGUGUGAGAAACCAAGUUUCAAUCAAACUCAUUCUUUUCUUUGAAGUUUGAAUUUAAUUAAAAAUCAAAUUUGAAAGCGGAUAAUUAUCAUUAUCUUAAAGACAAGGAUUAUCUCGAAGAUAAAAAUUAUCUUGAAGAUAGGGAUUAUCCUGAAUAUUAAGAUAGAAUGACAAAAGCACAUUAUAGUCCUUAAUUUUCACGGAAGUUGACAAAUUACACUUUUCAUCGAAAUAAAUCUCUGAUAUUUUAAUUUUUUAUUUUAAAUUCUAUAAAAAUUAAAUUAAAAGCUAAAAGGCAAAAAUUAGGUUAUGACAAAGGUAAACGAAAAAGAAAAUCUUGAAGAUCCCUCUACAACUCUGUGUACUUUUGAUCCAGCCUAAGGAGUGAGAAUCACCCGCAGUGAUUCAACUCACAGUUUGUGAAAGGUUAAUAUUUUUGGAUACCUGGUUCACUAGCUUGGCAAUUGCACUUCGCUUCUAUCUCUUGCAGAUCAUUUCCACUAACCUGUGUUCUUCAGGCAAAAAUGUCAUGUUGCAGGCUCUGUUUUUCUUUUCCCUGUUCUCAAGCCAAGGUCCUUAACCAACCAAGAAGCCGGAGGAGAGCAGCAUCCAUUACAGGGGACCUUUUCUCAAUGCCUAUGAUAAGAUUUUGGGGGGGGGGGUAAACAGAAAAAAAACUAGUCAUUUAAAGGGAGUAGGAAGCUCAUCAAAGUUGACAUACAAUUUACUUUUCUUGUCCUUGCACCUAAACGUAGGAUAAUUUUUUAAAUAGAUCUCGAUCAGGAAAAAGAAAAACACCUUGAAGGUUUAACAGGGUUGACAUUCAUUAUUUCAUCAAUGGAGAAAAUGCAUAACUAUAAUUUCUACCACGACUUGAUCAUGCUUUCACAAAUGGUCAGCAGAACUACCGAAGCCAAUAUCAAACACAUUGAGAAUGAGAAAUGUUUCCUAGCUUACCAAUAUCAGCAGCUACUCGAUGAGCACACAUUACUCCUGAAAAAGCUACAGCUAUAACACCCUGUCCUGGAAAGCAGCUAUCGCCAACACAGUAAAGACCAUCUACAGCCUGCAAGUUUCAUCAUGUCAUGACCCAACUGAUUUUCUCCCAUGAACUACUUGUGUCAAUGGAUCAGUUCGAUCCAAAACUUGAGAUAAAUCGUGUAAUCUGAAAAAAGAUUCAUAAGUGGUUGUUAAUGGAGUUUGGCAGGCUUGAGAGGAGUGGAGUAUUGACAUUUCAACAAGUGUUGAUGGCACUUCACUUUUGUAGGGAGAGGACCAGAGAGGUAAAGAAAGAAAGUGAAGCACCAUUGAUAAAGGGCAAAGGCAAAUAGCCUGAGUAUUUCUUGCUUAAAUGAUUUCUAAAACUACAAUUACUGUGACAUUCAUGAGAGGUAAUGAUUGGACUUACUGUUGUAUUGAAUGGCAUUCCCAAUAAACCUUUAGGAGUACUGCGUGGCAUUGGUCCAUAUGUACCCUUGUCACGAGCCAAGUACCUCCUGUGUGUCUUGGGUGAACCUACCUGCCAUGAUUGCAUGUACUUUUGAAGCCAAAACAAAUUUGAAUGACAAGAGUCGAUAAUAAACAUAGUAUUCCAUUCACUGAAACUUGGAAUGUAAGAACUUUGAAUGAGCUCCCACCAAACAAGGCAUGCAGUUAAUAAAGUACAAAAUGGAUAGUGGGAAGGACUUCUUCAAAUUAGAGAAAUUCGUGAAUUUAAAGCCUCUAUAAGGAUCCAACCACUUGAGGUUGGUUUAUGAAUUUGUGUGUAUCAUUCAGGCUUACAUCCAUAAGUAGUGAUCAUUUCCUUCUCAUAUGCCAUCACCUGACACAAUCUCUUUACAUUCUUCAAUGAAUAUGUACUUUUAUGAUAAUGUGAUAUAUACCUCCAUGAAAGUAAUUGAUGAUCUGAGCCCCGGAAAAAGUUUCUUCUCCAAUCUGCUUAUAAUCUCAUAAGCCACAACCUUCUUCUUUGCCUCGUAGUCCUCUGUCGAGAGUCCCUAAACAGUUAAGUCCAGCUAUUAGGAAUUUAGCUGACAGAGGGAGGGAAAGGAUAGAAAUAAGACAUUAAGUAUAGCUAUUCACUUAAAAGUUACAGUAGUGAACUUACCUCCCAGUCUUCAAUGGAAGAUGUUGUAAAUAUGUGGAGUAUAUGACGGCCUUCAGGAGCCAAUGAUGAAUCAAGAACAGUUGGAAUGCUUAGGAAUAUGCUUCCAUAAGGCUCCUCUAAUCUUGCCCAGUCAUCCUAAGUCAAAACAAAAGAAUUAAAGUUAAAUGUGUCAAGCUCACAAUUCCAGAUAUAUGGUCUCAGUUUGUGAGCAAAUGAAUACCUCAAGAACAAAGUGGUGGCAAUCUGUAUCUGGUGGUAGAACCUCGGCUUUAACACCCAUGUGAAUGGAAAGAAAAGAUGGAGCCUUGACAUAAACUUUUUGAAAAUUUUCUUCCUCUUUUGGAAGGGUUUCUCCUUUCAACAACUUCCCUGCAACAUAUUUAAUUACUUCAUAAUAACUGAAAAAGCCCAGUGCUAGAGCAGCAAAACGUUAUUGUCAAAUCAAAUAAAUUAGAAUGUUGGAAUCUGCCAAAACCAACCAAAGGUAUCCCAUCUAGUAGCAUUUGAUAUUAUGGUUUUGGCAAAGAACUCCCUUCCAUCUGAAAGCCUCACUCCUACCUGCCAAAUUCAAGUGAAACUAAAAUAGAUAACAAUAUUAUCAUCUUCCUUUUUUUUAUUUCUUUUUGCAUUUAUAAAACCAAGGAUUCAAUUCUAGCACCAUUUAUCCACUAUUUAAAACUCACAGCCUUUCCAUGCUCAAGAAUGAUGUUGGUCGCGUUUGCCCUGUAAAGAAUUUCACUGCCCUGAUCAAUCAGACCUUUUGACAAGGACUUUGCAAUUCCACCAACCCCACCAACAGGAUAAUUGAUCCCUCCAAAAUGCCUAUCACAUAAAACCUGGUGCUGAUAAAAAAAGAUUAGAAUAUACAUAUUGGAGAGGUCCAAAGUUAUUUAAACUGCUCACCAUGCCCGCAUUGAUCAUUGGGGUCUGCAAAGCAUUGACUGUGCUUACUAUGAAACACUGCAGAGAAACAACAGAUAAAACUUCUUUAUGAGAUUGCAGGACCCUCUUUCAAUACCCAAAAGACCAUUAAAUAUACAAAAUUUAUCAAAGAAUUGAAUUCAAAGUAUAUCACCUCUGCAUCAAUGAAAGACAACAACUCAGGAUCGUUUAUGUACUUUCGAGCGAUGUCUCCAGCAUUUUGGGGCAGAUAAUAAGCUGCAGAGAAUAGAAGCAUCUCAUUAGAGAAGUUUAAAAGAAAGAAACAAUUAUUUUUUUGGUUUAAUUUAGUGACUAGAAUGGAAAAAAAAUUCAUGAUAGGGAAAUGAAAAGCAAAAAAUAAAUAAAAAUAAAGAUUGAAGGACCAAAAGAGAUGUGACUUUCAAUAUUGACUAUCCAAAGCUCCAACCUUAGAACUAAAAUAGAAGAUCAUGAUAAACAUUUGUAAUUUUUUUUUUGUGAGUGUGUGUGUGUGUGAAUUAGAACAUUUUCUUGACCAUCCAAACCAAUAUGAUAUCAAGGAAUGCUCCAAAAAAUUUUGGGGCCAGCACUUUGUCUUUUAAGCAGUCAACCUGGAAGCAAUGAGCACAGCUGCAAUUGUCUAAUAAUUGAGAGUUUUUCCAAGAUCCAUGCUCGACAGUAUUUUUUUUCUAAUCUAUUGCAGCAAUAGCUUUGAACAUCAAUACAAGUUUUGUUAAUUAGAAAUUUCAUGGAACUUAAAAGUUGCAGUUCCAUCUUGUUUUCUACCAACAAUAAUUUUACAAUUAAAUUAAUGCCCAGGUACAUUAUCUGCAACAGUUUUCCUUGCUCAAAUGAUGGAAAAAUAGAUGUCCUGAUUGUGAUUGGAGCAAGUAUACAGUAUCUACACCCUGUAUGCAUCUUGCUAUUGAUUCUGAUUUUAUAAAAACCUGUUGGAGAUGUAACAAGCUCCCAUUCAAAUCAAUUAGUAAAUUUGAGAGGAAAGGAUAGGAAAAAUACCUAGUGUCAAGCAUUCAAGAGGCUUCUGAAAGAAUUGUCCAAGCAGGUAGAUUGGCUCCUCGAGCGACUUCAGUUCCAAAGAGUUCAAGGCAUUGAAUAUCUACCCGACAAAAUAAAUGACAAAAUAAAUGCUACGGUAAGUGAUGAUCAACAAGUAGACACAAAAUACUGAUAGGAAGUUGCAUUCACCAUAAUUUAUGUACCUUCCAGCAUUCACUAUAGAAUUUAAGGAUCCCUUCCUUUUCAUGGGGAAACUUAGCAGUAAGUUCUGAGAUGAAGUCGCUGUACUCUUUGGGAACUUUAACAGAAAGGUUAUUAGGUAGAUGAAAAUGGACAGUAGUGGGAUCAGGAAUCACCUCCAUUUCACAACCAACUGCUGCCAAUGCUCGUGUUAUCAUAUUUAGGUUGCCCUGCCCAAAUUUUAGGCACAUAUCAACGCUGAAGACUUUAGUGAUUCACCAAAGCACGCAGUGGAUAAAAGUUCAGCGGAGAUAGCUUAGUUACAUAACAAGAGCAAAUAAGCAAUAAAAUGCUUACAGUGAGGAGUCUUACAGGCAUUGAGGUUAAAAUCCUUACUGAAGUCCGGUAAACUUACCCAAAAACCUGAUGAACUUGGCAAAAUCCAUUUAAACCUAAUCGAAAAAUCUUAUCUACUAAGCACACUUCUAUUGGUUUAGUGGAAAUUCUCUUUAUGCAUGACCAUAUUUCACUAGGUUACUUACCUUCUGCAAAUAACCAUCCAAACACUAAAAAACAGUAAUAGAAUCUUCAAAAUCAUGCCAAAAAUGCAUUACAACCUUAUUCCAACUCAAUCAACAAAAUCAAGUCCUUAAUAAACAAAUAAAUCACAACGCAAAUAACAACAAUAAAGAAAUAUGGAAGAACAAUAACAACUGACCUUGUCACUGAAACCAAACAUAACAGAAGAGCCAACAUCAAAAGUAUAUCCAUCCCUCUCAUAAUACCCAGAACUCCCACCAGGAAUCACAUACUUCUCCAAGACCAAAACUUUAGCUCCCUUCACUGCCAACUGUGUAGCAGCAACCAACCCAACAAUACCAGACCCAAUAACAAUUACAUCAUAAUCACUCCUCUCUCUGCUCACUCCUUCAUUUCCUUCAAUAUCCACUUCUUUAUCCACAGUUAACACGGCCUUUGACCUCAAAAUAAAGUCCUUAUUUAACUUUACUUCACCAAGACUGUCAAUUUUGCUUUUUAUGUUUCUGGGCACAAUAUAACCACUGAAAACUGAGGUUUGGACAGGUUCUACAGACGAAAUCCUAUGUUUUUGGCUUCUGGGUCUGAACCUCCCUAACUGGACAGUAUUGAACUGACCAGAAAAUAUAGAAUUCUUGAACCCUAGACUCAUGUUACUAAAUAGCUCUUAACUAAAACUAAAACUCAAUGUUCUGUGGGCGUCCAAAGAACAUUUUGGACAGAUAUUUUCUUGUUUAGAUUUAUGGGUCUUGAAGAAAAAAUAGCUGUGAGUCAGUUGAUUUGAUUUAGUACAGGGAUAGACAGAUAGUGAGUGAGAAAGAAACCUGUUGUGGGCUCUUUAUGAGAAAAAACAAGGGGGUUAGCAGUAAGUGAUGUCGCUGAAUUUGGAAGUGGCAGUGUAUAGUGUAGGCAAAGAUUGGUUAAGGAUUCCUGUCCAUGAUUCUCUUCUCUCUUCGAAGAACAGACAAUGACAAUUCAAGUUACAAUGGUCGUGUUAUUUAAACGGUUGAAGGAUGUGCAGUGCUUUGGUUCCAUUGGUCGUUGGUUUUUGUCGAGUAGUGAUGGUUGCCGCCUGCCUGACUGUUGGAAUAGAUUAAAGUUUUUUUUCCACGUUAGCACUAAAAUAUUUUUCAAACUAUUAUGAUUAGAAAAAUACUUCGAAACACUAGUCGUGGAUAUAUUACAUGCGUGUUCUAUCAUGUAAUAUAUACACGACUAGUAUAAAAGCAGCAGCUCAAGCUUAUCCAUAAAGUUUUUCACCACAACAAAUUCAACACAAUAAUUUCAUAUUCAAGUAAACUUAAUUGCAAUAUCAAGACAAUUUAUUAUAUAAAUAAUAUCAAUUCAAUUACAAAUUAAACUACAUAAUUACAUUUAACAAAUUAAUUUGUCAAUGGGUAUACAUCAUUAGAACCACGAACAUGAUGUUAUUGUGCAUGAUAAAUAACUUUUAUCUUUUUCUAUUGUAUUGUCCGAAUAUUAAGUCUUCUCGGUCUCAUCAAGUGAAAAAUAGCAUGAUGAAACCAUCUAGGUGAUGACCCAGUGGUAAGAGUUUGGGACCAAGAGGUUUGCUCCCUCUGUGGUCUCAGGUUCGAGCCCUGUGGUUGCUCAUAUGAUGGCCACUGGAAGCUUACAUGGUCGUUAAUUUCAGGGCCCGUGGGAUUAGUCGAGGUGCGCACAAAUUGACCCGGACACCCACGUUAAACUAAAAAAAAAAUAGCAUGAUGAGAACCAAAUAUUAAAAACAUCCUGCACAACAUCUUCAGUAGUUAUUUCAUGUUUUUGCUUUUUGAGUGGAUUUUUGACUGUGGAUUUAUAGUGGCAUUUGUUUAGAACAUGGAGUUCUAUAAUCCUUAAAACCACAAUUUUUUAAGCUAUAACAGGAAAGUGAAAAUGAGAUUAAUUUUGUAAUUAAAUAUGUCCAAUAAAGGAAAAGGCCAGAAGAGAAUAUUUGGGAAACAGUACCUAAUGAAGCAUAUGCUUAUCUCUUCUCCCAAAUGUAAGAGCAUCUCCAACCGAGAAGGUAAAAGAAGAGCCAAAAGGAAAAUCUUAUACUUUUAGCUUUUUUAUUUGUUUAUGUCAACUCAAACCGGGUAGCUAAACUCACAGUUAAAAUAGCUGUUGAGUACGGUAAAAGCUAUUUCUAUCUUCUUCUGUAGCAAAAGGCAAAUGUAGCAAAAGGCAAAUGAAAACGUUGGCAACCGUUUUUUUCUCUGUUGAUUUAUAUCCGUUGGCCAACGUCUUCAUUUUGUAUCCGUUGGCCAACGUUAAUAUUUUUCCAUUUAAAAGCAGAACCAACCGAAGGAAGAAGACAACAUUUAAGCAAAACAGAAGGAAAAAAAACUUACCUGCAGAUUUCACCGUUCUCUCUAAUUUAGCAAAAAAGAAUUAAUUGUUCGCGGGUUAAUUAAUAACAUCGAUUGUGUUAAUUAGCUGAAAUCAAAAGGUAUGUUUGCUUAAAGACUUUUUUUAUUUUUUUUAUUUUUUUGCAUCUCUUGAUUUUUAUUUGCUAUUUGUAAUGAUUUUUAUUUCUUUGUUAUUUUAUGUUUUUGAUAUAGGUUAAGAAAAACAAUUUUUAUUUAUAUUGUUAUCUUUGACAAAAUCGAAAGGAUGUAAUGAUGGUAGCUGAUAUUGAUAAAAACAUGGAGUGACAUAUCUUAAAUUUAUUUUUGAUUGCCUAUUUUAAUUUGAGGUCAAUUAUAUUUUGUCUUGUUAAAAAUGCAACUAAACCAAGUGAUUAGAUUAAUUGUAUGAUUAGAUUAAUGUUAUAACAAGUAGAAGGCAAUUUUUAUUAUUAAUUCACAUGUAUGAAAACUACAAAAUUACUAGACAUUAAAUGUGAGCUUCAUUUACACCAUUUUAUAAGGUUUUAACUUGAGUUUUUUUUUUUUUUUAUGUAGAUGGAUUCAAAUUUUCCAAGCUCUUUUACCAAUUUUCUUAUGAGCGAGUCAGAAGAUAUUCUCUCUCAACCAAGUGAUUCUAAUCAAUUAAUUAAUAACUUAACAUACUCGAAUUUAAAUGUCAAUACAAUAAAAAAAUCACAAAGAAGUAAAAACUUCUCACCAGAAGAAGAUUGUUUACUUGUCUCUGCAUGGUUAAAUACAAGCAAGGAUCCAAUUACAGGAGUUGAACAACAAACAAAACAAUUCUGGGCUCGCGUCCAUGCUUACUUUGUAGAGAAUGGAGGAAACUUGUUUAAUCGUUCCCAAAUAAGCAUCUCAAGUAGAUGACAAGAAAUAAAUAGAGAAGUCGGUAAAUUUGUUGGAUUUGUCACUCAAAUUGAAAAUUGUCAGCAAAGUGGAAUGACCGAAGAAUCAAGGGUAAUUUUAAUAUUCAUUUCCAUGUUAAAUUAUUUAACACAUAUUUUAACAUUAUUUAAUUUAUUUAUUUUUUUACCAGAUUAAUGAUGCUCGACAAAUGUAUGCUUCUUGCGUUGGCAAACGAUUUCAACUAGAACAUUGUUGGGUUAUCUUAAGAAAAGAACCCAAAUGGCAAUUUGAGCGUGCAAGUCAAUAUCAAAAGUCAAAUAAGAAACAAAAAGUCAUGUCAAUGCAAGUCCAGCUUCAUCAACUCCAUCUACCCCUAAUUCUGUUAGUUUAGGAGAAGAUAGUGAACCAUUGAUUUAUCAAGACAGACCAAUCGGUCAGAAGGCUGCAAAGGAACGACUUAAACGUAGACAAGGAAAAGAUAAAGUUGGGGAGGUAACUGUAACAAAUCUCUUACAACAAUUCAAGGAUACUCUAGUUGAAAUUGAGGAUCAGAAAAAACGAGACAGGAAAAUUAUGUUAGAGCAACAAGCCAUGGUGAUUCAACAAAGUCAAGAGAAACAAGAAUUGGACAGGAUUGAGAAAGAAGAACAAAUUAUGAAAAUGGAUAUUUCUAAUUUGGAUCCAAUUUCUGCAGCAUAUUUUCAAAAUAGAAAGUUAGAAAUUAUGCAAAAGAGGGGUUUUAAUUUUUAAUUAACUUUGAUUGAUUUAUUGUAAUGUAAUGUAUUUUUAAUUAAAUAUGUAGAAAAUUCUUGGUUAUUUUAAAUAUAUUGUUAUGAAAUUGAUAUCAAUUCAUAAUACUUUUUUGAAGUUCCUCUAACACUUAACAAUAAUAAGUAGGAUUAAUUAACUUAAAAGAUAACAACCAUAAUGAAAAAAAAAACAUAAAAAACUUGAAAAUUAUGAUAACAUAAGAAGUUCAAAUCUAAAGAUUUUACUCGUUGCCAUAUUGUUCCCACAAAUGUUCGAUCAAAUCUUCUUGUAGUUGAGAGCUAGUUGCUCUAUCCCUAAUUCGAUUAUGAGUUUGAAGAAAAUCAUGUAGUUCUGGUAUUUCACCAUGUGACACUGAUAUAAAAGAAUUGACUUCAUGCUCAUGGUCAAAUCCAAGCUUCACUGCUCCUUCAUCCUCAAUAAUCAUAUUAUGCAUUAUUAUGCAAGCUUUCAUAAUAUAUGUCAAGCGUUUCUUCAUCCCAGUAUUGAACAGGUCCACGUACAAUUGCAAAACGAGAUUGGAGCACCCCAAAUGCCCGCUCCACAUCCUUUCUUGCAGACUCUUGCUUGCUUGCAAAAUAUUUUCUCUUUGCUCCUAAUGGUCUUGGGAUUGUCUUAACAAAGGUUGACCAAUUAGGAUAAAUCUUAUCUGCUAAAUAGUAUCCCAUUGUAUAUUCAUGCCCAUUAAUUGUAUAAUUGACAGGAGCAGUAUGACCUUCAGCAAGUGCAGCGAAGAUAGGUGACCGAUCAAGAACAUUAAUAUCAUUUAAUGAUCUAGGCAUUCCAAAAAAGACAUGCCAUAUCCAAAGAUCUUGUGAAGCCACCGCCUCUAGAAUUAUAGUUGGUUCACGACAAUGACCAAUAUACAUCACAUGCCAUGCAAUUGGACAUUUCUCCCAUUUCCAAUGCAUACAGUCAAUGCUCCCUAACAUCCCUGGAAAUCCACGCUGCUCUCCAAUUGAUAAUAAUCGACAAAUAUCGGCCUCGUUUGGUGCCCUUAGAUACCAAUCACCAAAAACUUCUACGAUUGCUUUGACGAAAGCUCUAAGACUUUCUAUCGUAGUGGUUUCUCCAAUUCGAAGAUAUUCAUCAGUAAGAUCUGCAGGAAUACCAUAUGCAAGUAUUUUGUGAGCUGCAGUUACCUUUUGAAGGCAAGAUAAACCAAGAACACCAAGAGCAUCUGUCCUUUGUUUGAAAUAUGGAUUAUAAGCUUCCACUGCAUUUGCGAUCCGAAGAAAAAGACGACGACUCAUCCUAAAUCUUCUUCGAAAUUGACUUUGAGUGAAUUUAGGAUUUUCUGCAAAAUAAUCAUUAUAUAACCUUAACUCACCUUCCUUUCUAUUAUGAUUGACAAUAUUGUGACCAGGAAUAGAGCCACGAUGCCCUGUUCUCCGCCCUUGAUUAUUCGAUUCUUCUUCAGCAACCACAGCAGUAGCAACUUGAAAAGCAAACACAGGAGUGUCAUCAUCAAAAUCAAAAGCAUCAUAAAAAUUAAAAUUAGAAUGAUUCAUGAUGAAUUUUAAUGAAAUAUGUUUUUGAUUGGAGAGAAAAAAAUGGAAUGAUGAGAAAAAAUGUUAAGAUAUAUGAGAAUAUUUAUAAAUGGAUUAUUUUUUCAAAUUUUGAAAUCUUAGAAUGAUGACAGUUAUUUUUUUAAAAUUUAAAAUUUUAAAAUUUAAAAUGUUGGCGGUCAUUUUUUUAAAAUUUAAAAUUUUAAAAUUUAAAAUGUUGACGGUCAUUUUUUCAAAGCAUGAAUUUUUUUUUAAAAAAAUUGAAAAUCAAAAUUUAAAAUAUUGGUGGUUUUUUUCAAAGUUUGAAUUUGAAUUUACUUUUAAAAAAUUAAAAUUUUAACAGUAAUAUAUAAAACUGAAAAUUAAAAAUAUUCAUAUAGAUAAAUUUUAAGUUUAAUUUUAAAUUAUAUCUUUUAACUUUCAUAUUAUUUCAUUAAUUUUAUAUUACUUUUAUAAAUUACUUAUAUUACUUAUAUAAUUAAUAACAUCAUAAUUAUAUUAUAUAUAAAAUAUUUAAAUUAGUUAUAUAAUUAUAUUAAAAUUAAUUUAAUAUGAAAUAUAUUAAAAUAUAAAUGAUUUUUUUAAAUAGCUUUUUACUAUUGAAAUGUAUAUAAUAAAAAAAAUUAUAUUUAUAUUAUUUAAAAAAUUAUUUUAUUAAUUUAGUUUUUGAUUUAGCUUUUUGGGUUGGAGAUGCUGUAAGACCUGUGUUAUUCCUUCUUCCUAAUUUUUCCAUGCAUAUUCUUCGACCACACGAACAAGAUCACCAGCAAGCUCCACCAUGCGUCUACCUCUUUUUUUAACAAGUGUCCAGAUCUAUUUUUAUAUUUUUUACACUCUCCCAGUCUCUCUCUCUCUCUCUCUCUCUCUAUCAGUCCAUUAUUUUCUAGGAUUUUCACAAAAGAAGCGCCAACGAAUUUGGAUCCAAAACUCUACUCUCCAUCUUUAUAAUUAUCACAUCAUCACCAGCACAGAAUAUUAAGAAAAGGGUACAAAUCUACAAUCCUUUCAUUCCAUUUGUUUUAGGUUUCUUUGGUUUUCCAGUUCCAUGAUAAUAAUCACUGCAGUUCUGUAUCAGUGGAAAUCGUCAUUUCCAAAAGCUCUUAUCUUUUCAUUUAUUCGUUUAUGCUGCUUUUAGAUUAUGCAGAUUCUUUUUCUGGGUUCAUUUUAUUUUUUUUAGUGUAUCUUGCUUGGAUUGGUUGCUUAGGUAGUGUGCUGAAGGAAAAAAAUAAAGAGGUGAAGUAACGGAAGAUGGGAUUUUUAUUUUCAGUUUUUUACUGAUGUGGGAUUUUUAUUUGGACAUUGAUUUUAAUUUCUUUCAGUUAUAUUAGGACCUUUGGUAAUGGAAAUGUUUUGAGUUGCCUUUUCUUUUGAUUGAUUAGUAAUUCAUGGUCUCUGAUUUUCUGCUAUUUUGUUCAUUUGAUGAGUGUCUCAUGCUUUUGAAUCCAGUUAAUGGGUUCUCUGGCUUUUCUUUAUUUUAAUUAUUUAGUCUUUUUGGGGGGCUUUACCAGUUCUGUUUACAAUAUCUUCUUCUUCUCUUUAUUUUUUCAUUUAUAAUAUCAUAUAUCCAGUCUAACAUUAAAAUUACAGCUACAAAACAAACUUUACUAAUUGCUUUGUUAGUACCUGUGCAAAUCUUAUGGAUAGGCGAAAUUAUGAAACUUUUCAAUUCUUACAGUACCUUCAAUAUCCAAUAUUAGUGAUUCAUCUUAUAAGUUGAUGACUUCUGCAUAAUUGCCAAAUUAAUUUUUUUUCUUGGAUAUAAUACCCUAGGCUUGAAUUGAUAGUGAAGCAUGUCAUUGAUGCUUGUUUCUCUAGUUAAAUCGAACCUUUUUUGUACAGGGUUAAAGUUUGGGAUAGAAAAGCGAUGGAUAGGCUCAAGGCUCCUGCUCGCCUCAUGAUAGUUUCGGAUCUUGAUCACACAAUGGUUGGUCUCGUAAUUGUUUGGUUUCUGCUUGUUUCAUUGUAUAUUCUUGUGGCUGCUAUAAUUUUAUUAGACAAUAUACUCUUGUUGCAGGUUGAUCAUCAUGAUCCCGAGAACAUGUCUCUUCUUAGGUUCAAUGCCUUAUGGGAGGCCUGUUAUCGUAAUGAUUCUCUGCUAGUUUUCUCCACUGGAAGAUCACCUACGCUUUAUAAGCAGUUGAGAAAAGAGAAACCCAUGUUAACACCUGAUAUAACCAUAAUGUCUGUGGGAACUGAGAUCACGUAUGGCACCUCCAUGGUGCCUGAUGAUGGUUGGGUUGAAGUUUUGAAUCAGAAAUGGGACAGGAACCUAGUCACUGAGGAAACAAGCAAGUUUCCUGAACUUACUCUUCAGGUAUGUUAAACACUUAUGGGAUUUGGUUCUCUGAUUGUGCAUAUUGCUUUGAAAAUGAGCAUAUAGUUUUGUACAUAGAAGAAAACAGUUCGGCAACUUGAAAUCUCUGAAUAAAUGACAUCUAUGGGGUAAUGCAGUCAGAAACAGAGCAACGGCCUCACAAGGUCAGCUUUUAUGUUGAUAAAGCCAAUGCUCAGAAUGUGACGAAGGCGCUAUCAGAGAUAUUUGCAAAACGUGGGGUUAGUUUCUAGUUUUGGGAUCCUUGCCCCCUGAUUUUGUGUUCUUUUUAGUACAAGUCUACAGGUGCUACAGUGUCUAACUUAAUUUUUAAAUCUCUUCUCUUCUUCUUCUCUCUCUCUCUCUCAUCUUUCUUUUCUUCUUCUUCUUCUUCUUUUUCGUUUUUGUUUCUAGUUGGAUGUCAAGAUAAUUUAUAGUGGUGGAAUGGACCUGGAUAUACUACCCCAAGGUGCUGGCAAAGGACAAGCUCUUGCGUAUUUACAUAAGAAGUUUAAGACUGAAGGAAAACUACCUGCCAAUACUCUUGUUUGUGGUGAUUCUGGAAAUGAUGCCGAGCUGUUCAGCAUUCCAGAUGUACAUGGAGUGAUGGUGGGUAUUUAUGUUCUGCCAUAUCACUUCAUUGGGAAAUUGAGGUUGCUCACAUAGGUCAUUUUUUUCUGUUAACUAUUCAUUCAUUGAUUUAUCUGUCUAGGUUAGUAAUGCACAAGAAGAGUUGUUGCAGUGGCAUGCUGAAAAUGCUAAAGGCAAUGCUAAAAUAAUUCAUGCAACCGAGCGGUGUGCAGCUGGGAUCAUACAAGCUAUUGGUCAUUUUAAACUUGGUCCCAAUACUUCUCCAAGAGAUACAACCAACCUUUCAUACUUUGAGUCGGAAAACAUCAGUGCCAGUAGUGAAAUAGUGAGAUUUUUCAUGUUCUAUGAAAGAUGGAGGCGUGCAGAGGUUGAAAACUCGGAGCUAUAUUUGGCAAGCAUGAAAGCUGAUUGUGUAUGUUUCUAUCCUCUUUUCUUUUGACUCUAUGUGUUGCUCUAGAAAAGUUUGUGGACUUUUAUGUCUUUCCUUUUCUUUGUGAUGCAUUUUAACCUUUAAGGAUUAGGUUUAUACUAACUACUAUGCAAGAAAUAAACAUGGCUUGUGUCUGCUUUUCUUUCAUGGUAUAAACAAUACACUAGAUUCAUCUGGAUUUCAUAUUCUUUUGAGGCUCAUAAUAUUCCAGCUAAGCAUUAAAUUAUCCAGUCAUGGUUGUUUGGUUCAGUUCUUUUGCUUUUCUUUCAGGAGGAUAAAUAUAUUGCUAAUACCGUUAAACUGUUAUAAAUGAAAGUCUGACCUGUUGUGCUUAACCAUGUAAGCUUUUGAUACUUGUUCUCCAUAUGAAUAGCCUUGUGGCUGAUGAACAGAAAAGCAAGCUUGAGACUGUUCAGUUUUUUAUCCUUUCUGCCAUAAAAUCUGAAGGGUUGAAUUUGUCUGUUUUGUUUUAAGAAUGAAUUUAUUCAAAGAACUGGACAAGGUUCACCUGGACAAUACUAACCCACCCACUUGCCUCUGCAGUCAAGGUCUGGGGGCGGAUUUAUUUUAAAAUACAUAGAGCAAGCAUUAUCAAGCAUACUUAGAUAAAUUAAUAUCCACCAUCAUCUUAUUUGCUGGUGUCCAUGAAUGCACUCUUAUAUACAUAUGUUUUGCUUUUCCAGAUUCCCUUUCUUCAGUUAGCCUGAUAUAAUUUUUUCCUUUUUUUGACAGGAUUCAUCUGGUAUUCUUAUCCACCCAUCUGGUGCUGAGCUUUCUCUUUGUGAUGCUUUAAAUGAAAUGAGGAGCUACUAUGGUGACAAACAGGGCCAAAAAUUUCGAGUUUGGGUGGAUCGGGUACUAUCCAUACAGACUGGUUUGGACACGUGGCUAGUAAAGUUCAAUAAGUGGGAAUUAUCAGGUAAGACCUCCGAAUGAUAAUGAUUGCAUUAUCAAUAAUGCUGAUGAUAAAAUGUCCCUGCUCUCCCAUGCAUUUUAUGAUAUAUUUCUGCACCAGUUUAGACUACUGGACGCUGGUACACUUUCCUCUUUUCUUUAAUGCCAUCCAUGUAAUUUCUUCUGAUUUGUCAAUGCAAGGUUUUUAAGUUUUUAACAUAUACUUCUUCAGCUGUAGUUGGUUUGCAGGAUGUUCUUCAACUAAUCAGGGAUCUCUUUUCUACUGGAUUCUGGUUUUUCUUCGGAGUCAUACAAAUGCCUUUGCAUGGGUAGCUGUAAACAGGGUGGAAGAGCCUUUAGAACUUGACCUGCUUAGGAGAGGGACAAACAGAUCUACAACUACUGAUAUUCUCUUUCUUACUUGGGGGUUAGAAUCCUAUAGGUGCUUUAUUUGGCAAAAGCCAUGGUCAGAGUGAGCAUACCAUCUGCUAGAAAAGAAACCGUCCAUAGAACAAUUAAUCAUAUCUUCUAUGGACAAUAAUAAAACUGUUUUACUCUCUCCUCUCUAUGAUUAAUGGUUCUACGGUUUCCUUAUUUGUCUGAGUUUCUAUGAGAGCUGUCACCCAGAUUUUUCAACUUUUCCUUGAAAUAGCCUGUUCGUCACCUGGACAGGAUAAAGGGUGGUUGCUAGACACCCCAUAGUAAUGGAAAAUCGCUAAAACAUGGACUAGCUCAACCUUUGAAAUAUACCUGUAGAAUCCUUAGUAACUUCUUGGUAUAGUAUCUGUUGCAAUGCCUUCAAUGCACUUGACUGGGUUUUUGGAGUUGGUGUUGGAAAAUUUGCACUGGCAAUCGGGUUUGCGGACAAUUAAUUUCUUGUAGCUAUGCUUUUAUUUGUAGAAUUUUUGUAAUUCUUUAGUGGCGUAGAUUACCUGCAUGCCCAUUUUAAUUUAUUCCAUGCUAAGUAAAAUCUUUGAUAACAGGGAUCUCUUAAUCAAUUAAUGGAGCUGUAUGUGCCAUUUUUUCAUUUCUCCUAAAUUAUUCGUCAAUUCUUGCAGGGGAUGAGCAGCAAGGUUGUGUGAUCACUUGUAUAAUAAAUAUAAAGGUAAACCUUGAGAUCAAUCAAUGAGUUUCUGCUAAAACAAGAAUUCUGCCCUCACAUGAUUUGCUUCCUCUUUGUGUUUUAGAAGGAUGGUGUUUCUGGGGCAACUUACAUGCAUGUGCAUGAAACUUGGCUGGAAGGAUCAGGAGCUAAAGAUCAAUCAACCUGGCUGUUCUAGAUUGUGUUUACAGCUCAAAGCUCAGAUGCAGACAGCUCAUAACCGUCUUCGAAGUUCGAACACAAUAAAAUUAAUCAAAUGAUGAUUUUCAGCUUUGUAAUUUGAUCAUUGUUGUAUGAACAUCAACUUCAUGGUGAUCGGCUAUUACAUAAUAAAUGAAUAUGAUUAAUAUCCUGAGUGUUUUUCUUCCAUCAAACUUUUUAUUCCUCGUAGUAUUAAUCUAGGUGGGUAUGUUGGAGAUCAAUAACAUGUAUGAUCCUGCUGCCCCCCGAAGGACCCCUCAGUUGCCCUACCAUGCUUCGAUGAUCAUGCGCACACAAAAUUCCUGUGCUGCAAUGGCUGCUGCCACCAGUCACCAUGACCACUGUGCAUCACCUAGAAAAGUACGAAAGAAAUUGCCUCGCGAACGACAUGUCAUUGUUAGGGGUACUUGGGCCCAGUUUGUAUGGACCCAAUCUGAAAGACCAGCCCAUCGUGCAAUCAAAGCAAUUCCAAAGAAUGAAUUAAGAAAAAACUAAACAACAAAAAAGGGCCCAACCGGGUUCGAACCGGUGACCUCUUGAUCUGCAGUCAAAUGCUCUACCACUGAGCUAUGGACCCCUGAUGCUUUGAAACUCAUAAAUACCAAAUAAUAUUGAUUAAACAAAGAGGCAAACCCCACACUAAACAAUAUAGUAUGAAAAUUGAAAAGAUUCGUCUUCAUAAAGUUUUGUUUCGUUUUGUUUUGCAGCCAAUCUUUAUCAAAAUUAAGGUUAUCUCGGGGUUUUUGUCUUAAAAAUCUAAAAGAAAGAACGCUGUGGCCGUGAUACAAGCAUGAGGGCAUAUUUAAUAGGUGAGCUAAAAGAAGAGUCAAGGAAAAAAAAAACUAUUCUUUUUUUAUCCUUUUCUUCUUUAAUUUUACAGCUUCAAAGUGAUAGUAAAUAAAAUGAAAAGUUAAAAUGAUUUUUUAAAAUGAAAAUCCAUUUCUAUAUAUCGAUAAAAAAAAGCUGAAAAUAUUAAAAUAGAUUAUUUAAAAAAAUUUCUUUCAUCCCUACAACUUUUCUCAAUGUCUUUUUCUAAAACAAAUCAAAAAUUAUUAAUAUUAUAUAUAUUGAAAUACAAAUAGGUUAAAAUAAUUUUUUUUUAAUUGGAGUGCAUAUAAAAAAAAUAGUCAUAUUUAUAUUAUUUAAAAAGCUAUAUCAACACUUUGGCUUUUUUAAAUAGCUUUUGUUAUCGCUUUGACUUUUACAAAGUGAAAAGGCUAUUGCAAGUCUAUGUUAUAUAUUGUAUAUACCAAUUUGAUAUGGUAACAUUUGUUUAUUGUCUUAGUAUAGAAACAAUAAAGACAAUAAAAAUAGAAAUAUGUUUGAUUAAAGACACAAAAAUAUAAAAUACAUUUGUUUUUAAAAUAGUUUUAGAGUGAGAUUUUUUACUUUUAAAAUAAAAAAUACAUGAAAAACAUGUCUUUUAUAUUUUCAUUAUCUUCGUCUCUUUUAUUUCGAGACAAUAACCAAACACUACCAAAGAAACUUUCUAGUUUCAGUUAUGACUACUUUAUUAUUAAGGAUAAUAAUGAAGUACCUUGAAGGAAAAGAUGCAUUCUCUAAUUUUAUAUUUGUGAAAGUCUUUUAAUCUAUAUUAUCUAUUUUAUUUCUAUUAAUAGUUUAAAAUUAAACAUCUUAACUGGAAGUGCAUCUUGAUGAAGGUCCAUAUAAUUUUUUUUUUAUGAUUAAUUUUCAUUCAAUAAAUUAAAAAAUAAAAUAUUUUACACAUUAAUAAAGUUACUAUUGAAAAAAAACAUGUAACACCCUCAAAUUAUAAUAUCAUGAAAUCUCCCAACAUUUCUUUACCAAUGUCAAGUAUUGGGUAAUAUGUCUAAAAUUAUGGGUUUUUUUUUUUGAAAAUUUCGGCAGAGUUUCCUCUAUUUUUGUUGGUACCAAGUUAUCGACAACACUUCUAUUAUAUGUCAUUACGACUUCCAUCUUGAUCCAAUCAUCCUGGAUCACAUUCCAUUCAUCAAACAAUAACUCAAUAUUUAUACUUAUCAAUAUAUGCAAGUCUCAUAAUAUCAAUUAGUAAAUCAACAUAAAUGUACUACCAAAACAACUUAAAAGAUAAACAAAUUCAUCAUUAAACGUAAUAAAUGCUAACUAACUACAUAGAAGCCUUUAAACUAUAUAAAUACAACAUUAAGAUUAAGAGUCAUAUUAUAUUUAUAAUAAAUCUUAUCUUAUCAUUUUGAAAAUGAGUUGGUCAUACUAACAACUAUACAUAUAUAUAUAAUACAUCCACUACAUAUUACACCUUCUACUUAAUUUUUACAACACAAAAGGAUUUACAUUCAAAGUAAAGACAUGAAUAUCACAUUCCAAAAUACUAAUUCGUAAACAGGAGUAUUCCUACAUCUAACGAUCUGCAUCACCUCGCGGUGUAUCUGUUUCAACAAUAACAAUAUUAAGUAACUUACUCACUAUAUUAUUCUAAUAUUAAUUAAUUACUCUUAACCUUUGAAAUUUAAUACUUCUACUUCAAUCUAACUUAAUCCCUUAAUUUACAUAAUUUUUUCAAAAUUUACAAAUCCAGCUAACUCAUCUUAAUUACCAAAUAAAUCUAACACUUCCAAAUCCUCCUUCCUUCACUUGCUUUAGUGUUUUAUAGGUUGAACUUGCAAGCUUAUAAAGAUAUUUUCUCAAUUUCCUUAUUGUUUUUCCUUACUUUUCUCUCUUUCUCUCACGUUAUGCUCUGUUUUUCUUUUCACCUUUUUGUUUCUGCCCAUUCGGCAGUUAAUAGAAGAGAAGGAGAGCUUAUAUGUUUUGUUUUCAAUGGAAAAUUACUAUUAUACCCUUAAUGAAUAUUUUUUCCUCUUUGACGGUCUUUAUUUUUUUUGCUAGCACUACCGAGCUCCAUUCAUCUUAAAAUUUUAACCAAAUUUUAUUCAAUAUAUUUUAAGAUUCCUCAUAAAAUUUCAGCUCAAUCCGAUGAUCGGAUUGAAAAUUACAUCCAAUAACGUAAAACUAGUCGAAUUGUGAUUUUUCGUUAAAUUUUUGAAUUUCUCUAAAAAUUCUGAAAUUUUAACCCAAGUUAAGGUAUCAUAUUAGAAGGCUCCACGCAAAAUUUCAGAAUUUUUAGAUAACCCAAUCAAGAGUUACGAAUUUUUUUAUUUUACAUAAAACUAGUCAAUUUAUGAUUUUUCGCCCGGAGGUUUUACAAAACUACACAUGUUAUUUUAAAUGUAUAUUAAGAAAAUAAUAAAAAAAAUGUUAAUAUUAAAUUAUAAUUGUUUAGUUCAAUUUAGUGUGUGUUACAUGCAAGUUUAGUUCAAUUUAAAGUAUUUGAAUUAUAUAUCAUGCAAAUUAACAACCUACCAACAAUUUUAAGACUAAAAAUUACCUUGUAUCUUAUUUAUUAAUUGCUUAGUUUAAUUUUUGCAAUUCCAUAUUUUAUAAUUUUUAUAUAAUAAAUUUGUUUUUUGUUAUUUUAUUUGAAUGUUGUAAGUCAUAUUUAUAUAUAGAUUAUAUUAUUAUGUCUUCUACUUAGGAGAUGGUUAAUACAACUAAUAUUUCAGCAAUGAUUCCACCAUCACUUUUUGUGGUACAUGGUGAGAAACCUAAAAAUUCUAAUGGUUUGAACUUUGAGAGGUGGCAAUAAAAGGUAUUUUAUCUAACCACCUUGAACUUGGUAAAAUUCUUGUCUAAUAUUAUUGUUGUGGUAGUUACGAAUGCAUGGAUGCACAAAUAUUUCAUGUGCAAUAACUACAUCUUAAAUGGUUUGGACAACAUGCCAUAUGAUUUGUAUAGUUCAAUUAAAAGUGCAAAGACACUAUAGGAAGCCAUCAUGUAUUGAAAGUAUAAGGUUAAAGAUGUUGACAUGAAAAAGUUCAUAGUCAUCAAACUUCUUGACUUCAAGAUGAUUGAUUCAAGGACUAUGAUAAGCAAAUUUCAAGAGUUUUAACUCAUCUUACACAACAUUCAUGUUGAAGGGAUGAUUUUAAGUGAAUCUUUUCAAAUGAUUGCUAUUAUUGAGAAAUUAUCAUCAUCUUUGAAAGAUUUCAAGAAAUACCUUAAAGGCAUAAGUGAAAGGAGAUUAGAGUUGAAAACAUCAUUCUAAGAUUGAUAAUAAUAAUAAUAAUAAUAAAUAAUAAGUUGUUUGAAAGGAGAGCUAACUCUUUCAUAAUAGCUUCUAAAACAAACAUUAUUGAACAAGUAAAGAAGACCAAUAAUAAAAACCAAAAUAAAAAGCUUAAUGUGAAGGGAAAAGAUAUUGUCAUGAAAUUCAAUAGCAAGUGGUUUAUUUAUAAUAAGACUGGAUAUCAAGUCAAUAAUUACAAAAAUAAAGCUCAAGAAAGGAACUUUAAGAAAAAAAAAAAAGAUUGCUUAAGACAAUGUCACCAGGAUUAAUAACCUAGUAAAUAAAGUAUUGAGUAUGAAACUAUAUUUCAUUAAACCUAUAAAUCUUGUGAACAAUAUUGAAUAUUGGAGGAUUAACACUAGUUCUAUAAGACAUAAUUGUGCUAAAAGAAUGAUGUUCUCUACUUACUAAGAAGUAGGUGUUAAACAACUUGUCAUAAUCCAAUUUUGAAUCCCCCAAAACUUUUUCAUAUUUUGCUUAAAAAUAAAAAAAAUCAUAAAUUCAAAAUUUAAAAAUAUUUUUGGGACAUAAAUAGAGGAGCUUUUGAGUUGCAACAAGUCAAAUUCCAGGAGUAUAGUCAGAUUUUAAUAUUGUUGCCAAGAUAGGUUGAAGAACAAUUUAAUUUAAGCACAAUUUGAAAGUUAAUUUAAUUGAAAUUGAAAGAAUUAAUUAAGUUCAAGAACUUAAUUAAACUUCUAAUGAGUUUAUCUAACUUAUUUAAGGAUUUAAUUGAAAGAAAAUUAUGUUUGAAAAAUAAUUUGAUCAAAAUUAGAAGAAUUUAUUAAACUUAAGUGCUUAAUUAAACUUCUAAUGAGUUUAAUUGAUUUAAUUAAAGUAAAAUUAAGUUUAAAAGUUAAUUUUUGUAAGCAAGAAGUAUUUGUGUGAUGUUUUUUUUAAGAUAAUCGCCUGAUAUUCAUAGUCAAUUUGAUUAUUGUAAUAAGGGAUGUAAAUUAUAAUAUAAUUCUCUCUUCUUUUAUUUACUUUACUUUAUCGCAUGUUAAUUAUAAUUUUAUAAAAAAAUUUAAAUUUUAACCAACCUCUUUUUUGGGCACAAUCCCAAACAGGGGCUUAAAUGUCCGAAACACCAGCUAGCUCAUUGUGACACUCUAAUGCACUUCCACAUCAUUCGUGGAUUGACAAAUGUAAGGGUAAUCAGUUUUCGGAAGUUGCUUUUGAGUUCUAACAUUCACAACCACCAGUCUCAUGGCAACGCCAUUCAAGAUCCCUUUCUCUGUUCAUACGUUUCAGCCUGAGGAAAGCACAGGCAAGUACCACAAGAAAUUAAUAAUAAAAAUAAAAAUAAAAAAUGAUCAAACAAGACAGGUGCUUCAAAAUAAACAUUCCCACGUAACAUUUCUAUCUCUAUUCCCUACGCGUGGGAAAACCCAUCUCUCUUUUAAUUUCACUUUAAAGGAAUAAGAAUCGAAUUCCAGAUACAGAUCCAGAACGGCAAAGCCCACCUCUUCCUCUCCCUGUGGAUUUUCGAGAUCUUUGGUGAUAAUGGGUUUGAGGAUUGUGUACGGGGUGGUGUUCCUUUCUUUCUCAUGUGCCUGCUUCAUGCUUCUCCAUCUCUUUCUACACCCUGUAUUCUACUUCACUACCUGAUGGGUUCUUGGGAUUUUUGAGAAAGAAGCUCAAAUGGGUUAGCCAGAUUUUACACUUUUUCUUCUUUUCGUUUGCUUAAUUUGUAUACUUUUCUUCAUAUAAUGACAUAAGGGGUUGAAUUUCUCAAGUACUACUGUGUACUUCUAUUACUACUGUGAUGCAAGUUGAACUAGCUAUAGGUCUGGUAGUCUUCCUAGUCCUUUCGCAUCUCAGAGUUUGAGUGCUUGCGUCUUGUGUUACUUGUCAUGACAUUUCAAGCACAUCUACAUGUCUUUUGUUUGUUUGGUUUUGCUAUGAUGUUGUUGAUAUAAUACCAGUUUAAUGAGAAUUUGCUGAUAUGUUUAUUUAUUCAGUUUAUUUUUAUUUUUUUGAUAAUAAGUACUACUUAUGAUCUUAUGCUCAGUGUUCUGUUGCUAAGUGCAUCUGAAACUUUCAAUUUCAGUCCAGUAAAGGAUGUUUCUGCAAAAUUAGCGUUCUGGAUUAAUUAUAUUGCAAUUGUCAGUAGCAGUUUUGCAUUCUAAACCC
rnacentral:lncRNA from 1 species